rnacentral:lncRNA from 1 species
UUUUUUUAAAAAAACUUAUUUUUAUCUCCAUAUUUUUUUCAUUAAAAUUUUUUUUCUCUAGCGAUAAAUUACUGCCGAUUUUGAGUUGGCGGGCAUUUUCCAGAGCGGGACUCGUUUUGGAUUUAAGAAGCCCGCCCCCACGCUCACCCCCCUUUGAUAUUUGUUUCAGGAAACCCUAAGUCUUCAUGUCCUGGCGAUUCAGAAUUCCGACUUGGCACUUCAUUUCGGGAGAAUCCUCUAAUCUUACGCUUCGUUCGUCAUAUAUUAUCCGAUUAAGCGAAAGGUACGAGGACCUUUUAAUUCCACGAAUCGUGUGCAUUAGCUAUCUUUGUGGGUUCUUGUUGCUACAUAUUGUUCGUCCUUAAUCUCUUCAGAAUGUUCUCUUCUCCCUUUGUUUGCUCGAAUCUUUGGAAGUUCAGCGAUUUAUCGUGGUUAAUCUCUAGUUCCGGCGUUUGCAAGGGAAACAUCCAUGCGUAGUAAGUAUUAGGUCGGAAGUUGAUGCUUUUGGUGUAACUUCUUCCCAAUAUUCUCUCUGUUUAGGUAUUUAAGAUUACGAAUAGAAGUAUACAAUACUCAAUGGUGAUGUCCCCAAGGCAGUUCCUGUGAAUGUUUGUCCUCCAAAUUCAUUCACUCGAGGAUGGAAAUUCUUGAAGUUCAGAAUUGUCAAAUCUUUUGAUUUGUUUGACAAAUGCAUGAUGAGAGGUAUCCCCAAUAGUUAGUUCUAUCUGGGAUGGGUCAAGUUAAAAUAAGUUAGCUUGGUUACCAAGUACUCUUUCUCCUUGGUAAAAUUCUAUCAAGCUGGAUAUUAUAGCUCUACAUGCAAAUUGAUGGACCUAGUUAGAUUUAUUUAUUUAUUUUUUCAAAAAAGGGAAAAAAUUCGGAAAAAGGAUUAUUGGAUCUAUAGUUCAGGAGCAGCAUGCUUUAAUGAAUAAUCCAACAUGUUAUAAAGUAUGAUUCGAAGGCAACAUUGGCUUCAAAAUGAUGGUGUUCACUCCUCUCCAGCAAAUGAAAUAGUUCUGCUUUGCAGAAUGUGUUUACAUUCAAGAUAGACUUGCUGGAUUAAUCUCAACGAUGCCAUGUUCAGUUCUGGAGAAGCUAUUCCACAAUUACUUUUAGUUGGUGUUAUCUUGUGCUGCAUAUAUUUCUGAGUUUGACUUGAACGUAUGCAGGACUAUUCCACAAUUCUGAACUAAUCUUCUUUCCCUAAACUUGACUUUUUUUAUUUUUAAUUUUUAAUGUGUGCUUGGUUGGUACACCUGCCUAUGUUGAAACCUUUCAGACAAUGUGUGUGGUGGACUAGAUGAUGGUUUAACAUUUUUUAUUUGGGUUUGUAGUAGUAGCAGGUUAGGAUAGUUUCUCAGUGCUUCUCACUUGGUGAUGCAGUCAAACCAGGGAGGUCUGGAGUCUCUUGAGAGCUCCUGGAUCAUUAAUAUCAAACAUCUUAAUAAUCAAACCCAUACCGACUCCGCACAACAUCCUCCAUCAUAGGUUCGUUCUUUUAGUGUAGUUUCUUGGUGCCUGACAGUCUUUUUUGAGAGGAGGGAGAAUUUUCGUCCUGAUGACUAUUGAAACGAAAAUUCCGAGACAUCACCGGAAUAGCUUCCAUCCAAGUUUUUUACUUGUUGUCCCUCAAUUUUUUUACCUACUACAAUGGGUCCACUUUCCCCAACUUAGGUGGGCGUGUCGCGUUGCCAAUGUACGAAAUUUCUGGGGGUGUUCGUCGCUGUCGCGUAAGCCUCUGCGGAAAGAGCAAAUUACACAGGUUGUAGCACCUCUGAGCACAUUGUUUACUGGGAAUUGUGUGUAAUCCCAACGCCGCUCACAAUUUUACCUAACACGGAGCUCCCGGUGAGCCUGCCAACAGGUUGCCGCUUUUCGACGGAUUAGCUUUUCAGGUGGCGGGUCGAUUCUGACACCAAUUCGAAUGUUUGGUCAUAAGGGAUUAGCACACGAUUAAUUUGAUCCUCCUCCAGUUUUAGUGUCGAUUUAUCAACUUGCCUCGUCGGUUGUGGAUGACACGUAGAUCGUAUAAAGAGUCGGUUUAAUUAAUGAUCAUGAUAGGCCCGGCAUAAUCAUUAAACCGACACUGUUAGCUCGUCAGCCGCAGCCGAGAAGCCUGAUGGAUCCCUGCCUGCUGUCUGUCUACAGGUCGCCAUAGGUAGCUCCUUGACAGGUAACAUCAACAUAAAAGAAAACGCUCCUACGUUGGCUUUUAUGUCUUUUUAUUUUAUGUAUGCAUCUGAAACAUUGUUUACGCGUUGGAACGACCGUAUGCUUCAGCGUUGCCCGGUGACUAAGCAACAUACGUACGAGGAGUCUGAAAUGUUACGGGUAUACGUAUUCUCCAUGGUGUGAUGUCGAUGGAGCAACUGGGCUUGGCCCCGUUAUCAUCCGUAUCACUCGGGAAGGCUCGACUAAGUGAAGCCGUCGUCGUCGUCGCCGUCGCCAUCUAUCGAUCCAAUCGCCACCGAGCAUCUCUCGCGUGGACGAUCCCUGUGAUCCAUCAUGUCACACCCGCAUGGUGCGCCGGGAUCCUGUCCCACUCGGUGAUCGCUCUGGUUCCCACCACGGUGGUGACUAAUAAGUUGGUAGGAAAAAGUAUUCCUGCAUUCUUCGUAAUACAUACUUCUCAAGCGUAUAAAAGGUGGUGAGCAAUCCUUCUCCUCUACCGGGGGUGGUUCCCGCAACACGACCCACUUGGCGGGGCCCACAAGGGGGGAAGCAGAGGAUAAAAGAGAUGGGUCGUGUAAAAUAACGGGGGCGGGGAAUUGGUCGUUACGGCCCGUUAGUUUGGAGGUUUAGCUUCGGCCAGUGAAAAAAAAAUAUAUUUCGGGCAUUGAAGUAGAGAUAAACGAGAGAGAUAGAGAGAGCGAGAGAGCGGUAGCAACCUGUCUCGAUCCCGACUUUUUCAUCGGCAUGUUCCGUCCUCUGCGUCACAAUCGAUUAUGUAUCGUCGUCCAGCGAUGAGAGUCGGCUGAAUUCUGGAUUUUGAUUUCCGUGUUCCCGUGCUACUGCAGAUCCCCUAGUACGGCUCCUCGUCCCCGAUCCCUGAUUAUUGGAUUCCGGUGUUUGGUCUUCUGAUCAGGUUCCGGUACCUUCUCCUUGCGGCGAUUCUUUUCUCUUGAUUUCCUGCUUGCCUGGUACUUUUCUUGAGCUGUAGUGCUGACGGUUGUCAUGAUAGGUUCUGAUUUGUGUUGAUGGUGGUUUUCUUGUGACUGUAGGGGUAUCGCUAGUCAUGAUUGGUUAGCUUCUGAUCUUCUUGUUUUGAUCUCGCCGAUGAUGUCGAUGAUACGUGAAAUAUCUGGAUGCCUGUUUUUGGUGCUUUUCUUUGCUUUUCUUGGGUGAAGCGUCGUCAGUUGUGCUUGUUGAAGUUAACUAAAUUAGGAUUUCCGUAUACUGAAUCUGGCAAUGGAUAAUUUUUUCUCGUUCGAAAUUUUAUGUUUCUUUAGGUCUUUUCAGUUUAGGUUGCUCAAUUUAAAGGGUUAUCGGACCAUGUGCGAGUUUUAUUCUGUUCUGUGACUGAUUCUCCCCGGAUUUUAGCCUCGUAGAUAAUCAGGAAAUGAUGGUAGGUAUGAGACUUUUCACCCGGCUUACUUGUUGCAUCGUGCUAUAAUAUUUGGUCGUCAUUUGUAUGAUGAAAGCUCCAAGAGCUUCCAUAUAUGAGACCUGAAUCUAGCUUUCUAUUGGUGAUUAUCUACUAGAAGGAUGUUUAAUCUCAUGAAAAUAUGGAUAAAGACUUUUUGGAAUGAGAGAUUAGCUAUCGUCAUCAUCCAUAACCUAUUGGUAAUUUGAGCUUGUGCUUUAGCUCCACAGAGUGCUAUCCGAAAUCAUCCAAGUGUCUCAUUUUUUGCCCCCCAACACUGGUAUCAUCCUUCGAUGCACCUUUUAUGUUUUCUGUGAAACCCCUUAUCGUAUGGGUAGGUUGAUUCAGCCUUUAGGAAUCUGACAUCAACUUUUGUUGUUUCAUGUAAGUUUAACAACCCAAUGUCAAGCCCUAUGAAGACUUCUAGGGAGCCUUUUUUUUAGUCAUCGUGAAGUGGUCUCUGUGACACCGUUUUUAAUUUGAAAAAGGUCGGAUUAUGUUGUUGAUGACUCAAUGAUGAUUGUUCAUUUGCCCUCCAAGAGGCAAAAGUUUAAAAGAAAAACAAAAUGAUCUUUCCUUCUUCUAAUUUAUGGUUUAUAUAUAGAUUUACAUACAUGGUGAGUCUGAUGAUUACAAUCUUCUAAAGUUCUGUGACCAUAUUUGUCACCUUGCUACUGUCAUUGUUUCGCUGAUUCACUAAAUGAAGAGUUGCCUAGAAGAAAUUUGCAGAUUCAAGUUAUUUAAUGAUGUGUAUUGUAUCUUGAUCUUAAUUCCUUUACUUGACUAGCAAUAAAAAAUAAAUUUGAGUGCUUUCAAUGGUGCUUAAUUUCAUCUUAACAUACCACAAAAAGUUCCUUGUGCUGUGUCUUAGUGUCGAUCAUUAUAUGCUAUUACUGGUCUAGAUUACUUGUGAACUCAUUAGUAAGAUCUAGAUGACAUGGAAGCUUAUAGUGAUCGUUGUUAUAUUAUGAACUUCAUACCUUGAUUCCUACUGUUCUUUCCAUUGUACUUGGCCUGUUUUGAAAAGGAGAUAUGCUGAUAAUUUCUUAAAACAUAGCCAUUCAUUUUGCUGUUUUUAUUGAUCUAUUCUUCAAUUUCUGCCCUUAACAGAUUUAUAAUGGAAAAUGGUUUAUCAAUGAAAAAUGUUACUUCAAUGCAGUACAGUUUUAUAUCAGUUUUUUGUAGUUCCUAUUUUUCUUUUUUUUCUUGCGAUAUCAGAAUUGGUUUGGGUAGGCCACGGGGGUGUUCUUCUUUAUAUUCUUUUAGACUUGGCAAUUGUUUCUUUAAUGGGGUUUUGCUAGAAGGUCCAACAAUUGGAAAUAUCUUCCUUUGGUGGAUUGAGGCAUGACAUAAUGGAUCACAUAGUUUUAGUGACGGUGAGUCAUGAAAGUGGUUGUGUAUGUUUUUUCCAUUUCAAAGGGGGAAUAGGUGCGAGCUAUUUGGAACAGACCAAUCAGAAAACGGACACUUGGUCUAGUUCAUGAACUUGACUUGUUUAAUAUUUUAUAAAAUUAUGAUGAUUAUUUAUUUUAAAAUUUCAAUAUAAAAGAAAAAAGUGAUGAGGACGGAUAUCCAAUGAGGUAGGGAGGUUCAUUUCCAUUUUAGUUUUUAUUCUUAAUUAAGAUAAAAUAGAUAAUUCCUUAUUAAGGUAUUCAAGAGUAGGAAAUAUAUAUACUAAAAGCUGAAAUAUGUUCCUUAUAAAUGCAUGAAAGAUCAGAAAAUAAUGGUAAUGAAGUGGGCACCAUUAUUAUCUUUCAAUUUAAGAAAAUAAAGAUGAUUACAUUUCUCCCCCUCUUGGAAUUUGGUUUCAGAUUCGACUUACCUUAAAGUAAAAGAUGUUGAUGCAUUUUUUAACAUCCUCUUCUCUUUCCCAUACAACUUCUUUUUUUGUAUGGUGUUGCUAGGGCAUUUUUACUAUAUGUAGUACUUUAAAAAUCGAUCGACUGCUUCAUAAGCAGUAUCUUCUUGCAAUUGUAGAGGUUGGUAUCAUAAGAUCUAGGAUGGAUCCACAAUGUACCUUUGAAGCAAUGACACGUGAAACACAUUAUGUUUCCAAGCGCCGGGAACAAGGCAGUUUAUAAGCAUCCGAUCUUUUGUAUGUUUUCAAGUGGACCUAUAUAUCUGAGAAUUAACAUCAUUCUGUCCGAAUCUGAUAACACCUCUUGUCGAAGAUACCCUUCAAGAAGACAUGAUCCCAACCUCAGAUUCUAUGUCCUUUCUCCUUCAGUCCUCAGAUUAUCAGAACCCGACGGACCAAGCCUUUAACUCCGUGAACAAGGAGCAUCCAAAGCUUCAGGACUACCUGGUAGAUUCAGUGAGGUUUCUGAAGCUUGUACAAAGUCUUCUCCAGGUAGAGCAGAGGACCAAGUCUGCUCUUGCACAUUAUGAAGCAUCGGAAGAGGCUCGAUGUUUUGGUUUGCUCGGGGAACCCUUGGAGUACAUGGAGCAUUUGGCUUAUAUCUACGACCAACCUUACAAGCUGAAGCAUCAUUGCUCUCGUUACCUCUGACAGGAUCCAUCUCACUUACAAUUCACUAGCGCUGGGUUAUACUUUUAUAGGGCCGAUUCAAAACUGACUCAUCAACUUGUUGAGCCUAAACCAUUAGCCCAAAAUACUUAAGUCCAAGCAGUUGGUGGUAGACUCAACUCGUCUAGUCCUUGUAAGUUCAUCAAAGAUUUAUAUUUUAUACCAUUUUUUAUGUGGGACUAAACCGGGAUGUCAUAAUAACUUCUUGUUGUAUGUCUGAAAGAUUGACAUAAUGAAAUUAAAUCAGGAACCCUAUGUAUCAUUUCAUAGUUGAUGAUGCUUAUCCUUUGUAUGUGUAGUUUGAGGAGGUUAUAGAUGUAUCUUAUAUUUGGUGGUCUUGAGCACUACAACUUGUAAAGUUCUUUGUCUGUCUGAACUGUCCCUGCUUGCUUAAUGCUUUUAACAUUUGGUAUGCUGUGAACCAUGACAUGGAAAAUUUUAGUUGCUUCUUCUGAUAGUCUUGAUUUUGAGGAACUCUGACUUGUAUUCGGCAGAUAAACAUUUAUAACAAAUAGUCUUGAGGAAAUGAGCCACUAAUGGCAGCUGCGGAAGCCAGAGCUGCUUGGCAGCGCACUGCAAACCGUUAUCUAGUCCAGGAAGAUGCAAAAAGAGCUCCAAAAUUAGCUUGCUGUUCUUCAUCUACCCCACAAAGUGAUUCAAGCAAUGGGAACACAGCAAGUGCACAAGAUUCCCCUGGCCCUAACUUCAUGCCUUUUAGCAGGAAUCUCACGAAUGCCUAUCUAUCACCUGAAACAAAAUGGUGGCUUCAGCUGCAACCCAACUUUGGAUACCAGAAUGAGCUUAUUUGUGAGCAGCUAAGCUCCUUAGAAGAUGAGGCUGACGAGAACAUGGAAACUGCAGUCCCAAAAUCGAAGCUGGGUGGGGAGUCUUUGCCAGUUGACUUUGUCCUUAAAAAGGAGGUGUGUUUUAUGGAAUCUUCUUGGGUGGUAUCAACAGCUUUCGAGAAACAUGGUUCUGAAACCAGGAUCAAAGAGAUGAAGACAACAACCAGCUAUUCACAACAGCUGCUAAAGCCGAAAACGUCUAUGGUGAAUUAUCUUGAUAAAAAGGAUGGGCUUCUGGAUUUGAAGCCCGUUGAUCAAUUUACUUCGUGCAGGCCAGAGAAAGCCUCUUCGUACUUUGAAACAUCAUGGGCUGGGGGUAAUAAUUCUGAGCCAUGGUGGCGUAUUGCAGACAAAGAUGAGUUGGCUCUGCUGGUAGCCCAAAAAUCACUGCACCAUAUUGAAAACUGUGAUCUGCCUAAGCCCAGCCAAACAGUUCAUGUAACUAGGGACCCACUUUCUCCUCCUGAGAAUUCGGAUACUAGUGGAAUAUUUCAAUCAUCUCUGGGUACAAAGCUAAAUGCAGACAUAUGCAACGGCAACAAAUACUCAUGUAACACAUCUACUUCUGUGAAAUCUGACAACAAGAACUUGUCUUCGAGUGAAAGAGGCUAUAUGCUGCAUGAUUCAGAGAAACCAUACAGGCAAGGCUCUAUUUAGUUUGUGCUCUGUUUUUCAUUUCAGUGAAAUAUUUGUGUGACUACAUGGUGUUGUGUUUCUAUUUGCAUUGACCCUGAAUUUAGUUACCAGCUAUUAUAUAGUUGCAUUAACGGUUGGCCUUAGAUCCUUAUCUAUUUGCACUCUAUAUUAAUGAGUUCACCUGUCCCAAAUAAAAAUUCUGUAGCAUAUAUCACUUGCUAGUGAAGACCAAGGAAAGACGAGUCUGGAUAAACUAAAAUUCAGAGUCAGGGGGAUUAUCUUUAGAAAAAAAAGUUUUUUGCAGAAUAAGCAGAAUCAUGAUGAUUAUAUGAAGCAAAGCAUUCCAGUCUGCACCACCCAAUAUCACUCAAAAAUAAUGAUAAAAUAAAUAGUGACUGUCACCAAGUUAUAGGAUUUAAACAUGAAGUGCAACAUCAAUUGACAAGAGACAGAAGAAAAGCUAUUAAUAGCUUCAAUCCAUUAUAAAAUGAGAAGGGGAAGCCGAACAUGAAAUAUUGGGAAUAAUGACUUGUUCUUAUCGUCAACGUAUCGACAUGAACCAAGGAAUGUGUUUUGUCGUUAACUAAUGCACUCUUGUUCUUCUGCUUAUUGAUGAAUGGUGUAAAAAGAGUUGUCAAUGUCAAUAUUGCUUCCAUUUAAUAAUGUUUUAUAUUCUCCAAUUUCACAUACAAAACUGAUUAUGGAUUCUGUUUUACUGAUCCAUGUCACGUAAUAUGCUUCUUUUCCGCUGGGCCAAUAUUCUUUUUUGCUCGAUCAUGGUGGACGGUAAGGCUGAUUAAAACAUGACAUACAAGCGAUACCACAAUGCUAAAUUUAUGCGACGUAUCAUCGAGGAAAAACUCGUAUUGAUAAAAUUAUUUGAUUGAUUAACUUUUUCAUGCCAAGAUUGAUUAGAAUAUUUGUCGAUGUAGAGUAAUAGAGCGGUAAUUGAUCAGCGGAUCCAUGUUAUAUUGCUAGCAUUUAUUAGUUGUUAAUAGUAAGAAUCAUUACAUAUAUUUAUAAUUUUGAGCCUCCAAAGCCAUGCAGAGGUCGUCAAAUGAAUUGGCCUGUCUAUGGCAAACUCGAACGUUUAUUUUACAUAGUAUCCCAUCCCAUCAGCCUUUUAACUUGAUUGUGUAUCUUUGUCAGCUUGUUCUUCUAGCGUUUAUGCCCAUUAGGACAUGCCUUUUUCAGUAUAUGACCUUGAAAAUGUUGACAGUCUCUUCUAAGAUGGCAUGUUCUUUCUACUCUUUUUCCUCUACGAACAUUUCUUUAUUUCUCGGCAGUAGAAAUAUGUCUCGUAGAAGGGAGUCCUUCAUAUAAAUGCUGUGCUUUCUGAAUAUAUUUCUAAUGUUAUGCAGUGACGGUCGAGGUUAUGUGAAAAAUGAACAACCUGAACGUAACCAGACAUGUGAGGAUGACCUUUCAAGAGCUCAGCUGUUGGAGGCACUUUGCCAUUCCCAGACCCGUGCUAGGAAAGCUGAAAUGGCAGCCCAGAAAGCUUACGAUGAGAGGGAACAUAUAGUCAAGCUAUUGUUGAGACAGGCUUCUCAUCUAUUUGCAUACAAGCAGUGGCUACUAAUGUUGCAGCUUGAGAACCUGUUUCUCCAGCUCAGGAUAAAGGAGCACCAGAUAUCGACGGUUAUCCCUGUGCUGCCUUGGAUAGCACCCAAGGGGAAGUUAUCCAGCGAAGGUAAGAUAACAAGGAGGAGGAGGAAAAAGCACAAAUGUGAAAUAUGCAAAUAUGCAGUUGCAUUAUCUCUUGGAUUGGGUCUGGCUGGCAUGGGGUUGCUCUUCGGCUGGACCAUCGGAUGGUUGUUUCCUCCUGCUUUAUAGAAUUUUCUGCAGUUUGGAAUGCAUCUCUCCUGGAUGUGGAUAUUAGGCCCAUCCCAUGUUCCAUGGGCUAAUGCGAAAGCUUGGCUCCCAUGGUGUGGGGGGGAAGGGGUGAUUGAUGUUUUGAUGUAUAUAAGGUUUCUGAUGUACAUAUGAUAUCUUGAGACCGAAAUGCAGUAGGGGCAUUUAUUAUGCACAGGCAGGGUGGUGGAAAGCUCGAAACGAACGAAGUAAAAAGAAAAAAAAAAAGAUGGGUCUAUCUGGCGAUGUGUACCAUAGAUUUCAAUUUUAUGUUGAUAUAAUAAUGCUGCUUGGGGCAUGUUUUCUUGCGUCCAUCCAUUCAGGGUCGCAUUCUGUAAUGUCCAUUCAGGGGCUGGUGAUUGUGCAGAAGCAGUUGGACAAGUGAAUGAUGGAUGGAUGGAUGGCAAGCAGCUGAUUACGCGGGGUUACGAAGACUUAAUUCAAUGGGAUGCCAAUAAUGCCACCGACUCUUUCGUUUUGUCCUCUCACAAAAAGGUUAGUAAUGUGGUAUGAUUAUGCAACUUCAAUAUCCUCAUCACAUCUUUUGGCCUCCCCCCCUCGAGUCAUGAAUGAAGUUGGCGUACCACCGAUCUAGAUUGAUGUUGAUUAAUGAUGAUUGAUUAAUAAUGAUUAUGAUUGAUUAAUAAAUAAUAAUAAUAAUAAUAAUAAUAAUAAUAAUAAUACUAAUUAAAGAAGAGUAUGUUGAUGCAGGCAAAGAGGUUGCGCCAUUAAAAGAUUUAGUUAGUUGGAUUGGCUGAAUGAAAGUUAUUUUAAUUGCAUGCCGACCUCUUCCCACCCACCGUGAAAAGGAUUUUUGUGUCACCGCCACCGAAAGCGCACAUCCAUCCAACUUAGCAACCAACCCAUUCAUUUAUAUUGUGAAUGAAUGCUACUUUUUUUGUUUUGAACUCUCGCAAGAAAGAUGGUGAUGAUGGUCUCUUGUACUACUACUACAUGGAAGGAAACACGUGUGUUGCUACUGACUUCUUUUUGACUCCCCUAAACUAUCUACUACUAUGCCUCUCUCGUCUUCUUUUUUUUUUUGCCAACUCCUCCAAUACAAUCAAUCAUCGCGUUGUUUCCUUCAUUGUUUUAACAACAACAACAACAACAACAACAACAACAACAACAACAAUAAAUAUUAUGAUAAGAAUUGUUUUAACCACAGAGGAGUAAUGUUUAGAGUUAAAACAAAAAAAUAAAUAAAUAAAUUCUAUGCACAUCUUGUCUUUUUGAUGACGUUACAAGCUUCAAGUGGUUCUUCUCAAUGUUGGAACCACAUACACGAUUAGCAAAAUACUUUUUUUAAAUUCUCAACAUUGAUUUGUUCCGAAUUUUUUCUAUCGAGGAAAAGAAAGUAAAAACAGUAUACAAUUCAACCAUAGACUUAUCUAGCAAUAGGGGAUGGUUGGUUAGGUAUAAUAAUGCAGCACAAUAAAUCAUACCUCAAAUCUCUAGAACCUUCUAGAAGUCCUGACGUUGCUUAACCUUAAGCCACACGCUACCCCCUUUCUUUUCUUUUCUUUUCUUUUUUUAUUUUUAUUAUUUUGGGCGGGGGUUAAAAUAAUUAAGAGUUUAACAUUUAUUUGGUCCUCUCACCAAAUACAUUGCUAUUUUUCAAAAUGUAUUUUACUGGCCACUUAUAAUUACCUAUAAUUAUUUUUAUGUACACGUUAUUGGACUUUCUAAAUAAAUAAAAGUCGACAAGAUCUUAUGAAAAUUGAAUAUAUAUUUGAUCUUCUUUAUUCUAUUUUUUUAAUACAUAUAUAUAAUUAUAUAUAAUAUGUUUAAGGAAUAGUGACUUCCCUUCUCAAUAUUUAUGCAUUUAAGGAAUACAUUUUCAUCCUGAAUUAAUUAAAAUACAUUAAAAUUCGUGAAUAGAUCGGAAAAAAGGAAUGGGUGACUCUCUCUCCCUUCUCACCCAACAUUUCCCUUUCAACUCGGUCGCUCAUCCGCCACUUCGUCUUCCGUUCCAGAAAACGCCGACUCCUUUUGCUUCUCCUUUCACAUCUUCACACGCUUUCCCUCUCCCCCACUUCCACGAAGCUUCCUCCGCUCCCUUCCCCUCCUCCUCCUCCUCUAACCUUUGUCUUCUCUCUCGCACGCCCAUAUUAAUGCACCUCGCGCUCGUCUUCCCGACGACCGUCGCGUCCAACGCACAAACACAUGGAGGGCCACGGCAUCGGCAGCAGCAGCAGCAGGGACAACACCUCGUUCUGGCAGUUCAGCGACCAGCUCCGGCUGCACACCUCCACCUUCUCCAACCUCUCACUCGGCGACAGCAUAUGGAGCGACUCCUUCGACGUCCGGCGCACCGACGAGCGCCGCAACCUCGACAGCUCAGCCCCCCUUUCGGCCGACUUCAACCCCAACCCCUGGAAGAUGACAUACACUAAUCACAAGCUCGCCUUCGGUACCUACAACAACAACAACUACAACAGCCAACUCAACCGCUACAACGCCGUCGACGACAACGGCAAGCACACUAACGACGGCGUCGCCAAGAACGGGAAUUACUUCACCGGCAACAACAUCGAUUACAAAUACGGCGGCGGGGAGACCAAGAACUACUUCAACAAAGCUAUCGGCAAGCCGGCCAAUUUUGGCCCCGGCGGUAGCAAGAAGAGCAACAUCAACGUUAGCAACGAUGGCAACCUGGGGAAGAAGAAGAAGAACACCAACAACAGCAACAACAAUCACAACAACAGCAACAACAACAACGACAGAGGUGGGGCCGUGGACAAGAGAUUCAAGACGCUGCCGCCGGGGGAAGCGCUGCCGAGGAACGAGGCCAUCGGUGGUUAUAUCUUCGUCUGCAACAACGAAACCAUGCCGGAGAAUCUCACCAGGCAGCUCUUUGGUAUUCGCCUUACCGCUCUGCUUUCCUAUGGAGAGCGUGUCGACGUUAAAAGAUUAGUUUCCGACGACAACUUGUAAUUCCGAGCGCUUGUGAUUGUCAGGUCUGCCAUCGAGAUACAGGGAUUCGGUCCGAGCAAUCAAACCGGGGUUGCCGCUUUUCCUCUACAACUACUCAACCCAUCAGCUCUACGGGAUCUUUGAGGUGCCAAGUUUAGUAUGAUUUAAGUUUGCCUUAGAUUCUUGAGAAUGAUACGUGGAUACGUUUCGGUUGUGCAGGCGGCGAGUUUUGGAGGAACCAACAUCGAUCCCACAGCUUGGGAGGACAAGAAAUGCCCCGGCGAGUCCCGUUUCCCCGCUCAGGUGUCCUCUUCUUCUCUUCAUCUUCAUCUUCUUCUUCUUCUUCUUCUUUUCAUGCCAUGGUUGCCUCUUUAUUUAGGACGGAAUAAUCAAUCCGGAAACUCCAAAGCUAUUCUCGUUCCCAACACCAUCUUUGGUUCAAUUAUCGCAUCAUCUAUCUGUCUUCGAAAUCUGCUGACCUCAACCAUACUAAUCACCGGAACAGUAGUAUUCUUGUCCUUCAAACACCUCUCUACUUGGGGGUGGUGUCUCGGAGUUGCGUUUGAAGGCCCGACUGUGACCGUGACACACCGAAUCGAAUGUUAUAAUACCAAGCAUUUGCAUUCAUCGCCGAAAACUAAGAAAAAUGAAGAUGAUUAUUCUAUGAAUUUGGGAAUCUGCAACCACCAGAAACAAUUGCAUCGACGAUCGAGUCUGAUGCCGACCGUGAGGCAUGAUCGGUUGGCUUUGCAUUUAACAUUACCCCCAUCUCGGGGCCAAGACAGUGGGGCGGAGCAGCUGCUCUGUUCAUCAUCUUUGGACGCAGACGUGCAACCACCCAAGACUCUGCUUGGUUUAGAGUUAAUAAUAGCACGUCCUGUCACUUACGCUGCUGUUCUUCUUUGACUAGGUGAGAGUGGUGACGAGGAGGAUCUAUGACCCCCUGGAGGAGGACGCUUUCAGGCCCAUACUCCACCACUACGAUGGCCCCAAGUUCCGAUUGGAAUUGAACGUGGAGGAGGUACAUGAAUCGUCAUCCCUGAUCUCACGUUAUGGUCGAUGAGACAUUAAGUCUAUGCUCACACAGCAAUUUUUUUUUUUCUCUCUUCAGGCACUGAAGCUCCUUGAUAUCUUUGCCGAGAACGACAACGCUUGAGGAAGGUGUGAUGAGAAGACGACCGAUAUAUGUCUUCCAUUAGCAGUCCAAAAUAAGGUGUCCGUCCGGGUGAUGUUCUCGAGAGAAUACCGUGUGUGUUACGAUAAUAAACUCGGGUUUUAUACUUGUGUGCGGUGCUCCGGUAUGUAUAGCAGGAGCCACCGAUCCUUCUUUCAGACAGAUCGAUAGAUAGAUAGAUAGAUAGAUAGACUGAUAGUGCAUGCAGAUCAUCACUCGUUAGAUGUUGAGAAUAAUAAAUGGCUUGUCACGCACUAUGCUUUUACACGAUUCGAUUCGAGUAUCUCUCAUCUGCAACGCAGGAUGGUGACUGACGACAAACAGAGAGAUAAAUUCAUUCGGUUGAGGUUCACUAUCUGAUACCUACUCUUGCCUCCAUCGGUGGGAGAAAGAGUAAAUAAAGAAGCUGAUCCAUAAUCUGAUCUCUAAAGGUUGCUGUACCUAAUCAGCAGAUUGUUCUUUUCUGCACUAUCUAUCACUUGCUUGGCAUUAUUUUUCUUUCUGUGCUUUGCUGAGCGAAGAAGGAUCAAUUUUUAUAUGCCGGGGAAGAUGAUGGACACUGUCAUGUCGUCCACUCGCUACGGAGUGAGAAUAAACGAGUCGGGCCAAUCCUCUUCCUGCAGCAAACCAAAUCUUUUAAUCCACGCGAAAGCUUUCUUGUCGAUCUCCACUUUCGUUUCUAAACGGAAGGAAGUCCUUUUCUACUUCCAUUUGCAAUUCAAUUCGAUUCAAUCCUUUUUGUCUUUUCUAAUCCGUCUCCAUUAUCCUGAGGGAAUCGAACACAUACUCAAUCAAAAAUUCACCGUCUGUACGAAGCAUAAAUACCAAAUCAUAAAUAAACAUCGGUGCAUUGUCAUCCAAAACCAAGGCGACAAUUCAUGGAAGCGUCGGUCGAUGGUAUCCGAUUGCAUCGUAUGCUGUGGAAGUACGUAACUUGUGAAUCAGCAACUCUUCUGAUUUGAUGAGCUCUGUGGUUAUUGCCACUCUGACUUGUUCCUCGUUUGCCUUCUCCCAAUUAAUGAUGCUGUGUGCGUGUGUGGACCAGAGAGUGCCUCAUCCUCCGCUCAUUUUAGCAGGCUGUUCCGAUGCUGCGAAGACAUCCAUGGCAGACUGGCAUUCCUGCGCACCACAUGGUUACUCGUCCCACAAAACUUGUCAUGUUGUUGGAUUGCCCACCGAGGGAGGACACACACUUUUCAGUCCCUUGUACCCACAGAUUUCACCCGUCACACACGACGCACGUCGACUCCGUGUUGCUUAAACCCUCUGUCGGGUCACAGCGUGCCCCGUAGGUUUGGAAUUCAGGAAAAAGGUCAUCGAGAAUUAUUUGCAGCGUUUUGUCUUCUUCUUCUUCUUCCCGGAGGAAUGCCAGCUCUGUGAUCCGCCCUCUUAAAUACCGGCGGACGCCAUUGUUGGAGGAGACGGAGCGCCGAUGGGGAACUGCACCGUGAGUUGCUCUGCGGUAGGAGCUGCUCGUGAUGGCUGCGCAAAAAUUGGUGAAGCUCAUGGUUGCGUCCGUGUAGACCCCGAAACCAUCAAAGAAGUGAAGCCGGAGGCCCCCCGAAGAGUCGAGGACGUCAUGGCUUCUGCGCCACCCUCCGCCGCAUGCAGACCCGGUGGGAGCGCAGGUGGACCGAUGAGUUACGAGGGGGCAGCAGCUUUCAAGAACUUGGAGGUGUUGCGUUCGCCGGAGAAGGGUGUUUGGAGGGUGAGGGUGGCGAUCAGCUCGGAGCAGCUGGCGGAGAUAUUGUCGGAGCAGGCCAACACGGAGGCCAUGAUCGAGAGGAUGAGGGCAUAUGCUGCGAGCACGGCGGGGGCGGCGACACAGAAGCAUCCCAAGUGCAGGAGAGCAGCGGAUCGGAUGAGUCACUGUGAGGAAGUCUUUCCAUGUUAGCAUGCAUGCAGACGAGUGAGGAGAAUCAUUAGUUCCCACCGUCGUCAGAUUAGCCUGUAAUAGUUGUACCGUUCUAUCCUUCUCGUCAAGCUCAACUAAACAAGUUCUGCUUUUUGCGCUCGUGUUCGAACUCCCUUGGCAAUGUAGCGGGCGGCGUUUCCCUAGAAAUCACAGGGUUACGUACGUAGAAGAAGGCGACGACAGCAUUCUGAUCCCAGACGGAGGAGCUUAGAUCGGAUUCCGUAUAUGUUAGCGUCGAGAAGGGGGACAGGAUUUGAAGAACGGUUAGACGUAAGAGGUCAGUAGUGCGUCGUGGAAGGCGACCUUCCGUCGAUCGCACGGAAGCCGUUUCCUUCGUCGAAGAAGGAUGGAGGAGGGCCCACACGGGGGGGAAGCGCCGUCCACUUCACGGCCCCCACACGGCAGAAACCAUAUGGUUUCUUUGUCCGCGUGGGCCCACCUGAUCCCACUGACACGGUCAAAACUCUGCCGCUCCAUGCUGUUGUCGACUCAAGAUACGAUUCAGCACGCGAAACGGGGAACGAGCUGCGUGCUACAAGACAUAAGUUAAUAAUUUUUAAAUUAAUCGAGACAUCGAUCGAUGCUAGUAUUUAUUUUUUUUUAUUUUAAUUACUCAUUAUUUUAUAUUCUUAUUAAUUUCUCUAAAUAUAAUAUUUAAUUUUUGGGUGGAAACCCGAAUCACCAUAUCGGAUCCGGAUUUUUUCAACCCUUAUUGGGCCAACGUCGCAUCACUCUUUUUAAAGGUAAACGUAAUACCAUCUGAUCCAGACAACAAACAAGCUUAUACCAUCUUCUUGCAUUGCCAGCAUCAACGAAUCAAAUUCCAGCUGGAAAACAACAGGUGCUUCCUACCGCAGCAACACUUGCAGGACUGACAUACCACCAACAUUACAACAACAUAUAUAUAUAAAAAGAAAAAACCAUUUUCAUCCAUACAAGUCAAUAUAAUUCGACCUUGCAUCUUCUCAGCUCUCUCAACUCUACCUAUCCACACCAGAACUGAUCAAAUUAAGGAGUUAUUUCUAUUUCUAGUCAUCAGCUUGAUCUGUAAGUUUCUUGUGCAAGUUUCCAUUUCCUAUGCAAGUUGUAAAAGGAAAAAAAAAAAAGAAACUGAGGAGAUGGUGAGCAUGGUACCAAAGCCAGCUUCUGUGACUAAGUAGACACCAACAGCACAGAUGAAUGUACCGUUCAUCUUUUCCGGCAUCUGUACUGAACUAUCCACACCAGAACUGAUCGAUUCGGGAGUUCCUUCUUUUUUUUUUUUAAUGUCUAUUGUAAAUGAAACGCAUGCAUAGAGAACAUCAUAUCGACAAUCACCCUUUUCUCGGCUUCUUCAACCUAACAUCAUCGAGCUCUGGUGGUGAACCAUGUACCAUCGCCCAUCAUGGAACUCAUAGAUAUUCGUUACGUAAUAUGCCUCCAAGUCCACACCAAUAUACGUGGUCAUGGUGACCCAAGCCAUGCCAUCCAGAAUACGAGCUCGCACAUCCCGUAUCUGGAGAUCAAUCUCUUGACCACCGCCUUGGCCCCAGUUCAAUGCCAAUGCCCAGCUGUCAAUUACCGCACCGUACCUGCCAAGAAAGAACCACCACCACCUGUAUCACUAAACCACAAACUGUAAACAACAUUAAGAAAUGUGUAGGUUGAAAAAGGAGCACCUCAAACAAGCCAAACUCUUAGCUUUAAGUGGUAUUUCUUGUAAAAGUCAAUCUAUUCUUUAAUUAGAUAUAGAAAAAGAUAACCCGAUGGGCGAGACUCCCAUCAACACAAUGUCUCAGAAAACCAUUGCAUGCACUCUUACCCAAAGAGGUUAUACCGUUGCCCAAAACCUGGUCAUCCAGGUUGCAAGCAAGCGACUGGUUAUUGUUUAGCAACAAUUGAAAUGAAAAUUAAAUUACAUCAAAGAGAUAUGUAUAGCAUAUUCAUCGGGUAAGAGAUUUGUACGUAGGUUUUACAAAGACAUCUCCAGAAGAAAAUAAGACGGAAAACAUUCUCUGAGGUAGAAUAAAAUUCAAGAAUGCAAAACUGUGUUUAUUCCGAUUUCAUCACGAGGUUUUUUUUCUAGUAUAACGGAUUCAACGAAAUUAAGGUUUAGGCCAUACCCUGUGAAUAGCUCCCCGGAUCCAUGCAUACAUUUCACAUAGUCAGCGUUAAGCCAUAAACGACUCAUUGCUGGAAGUGACCUCUCUCUGAUUAUAUUAUAGAAUUCUGCAUUAAUAUUGAUAAUGGCUUUUGUGGCUGCAUAGUAAGCCUUCCAUCCAUUGCUUGGAUUAACAGUGUCCUGUUCCACUGUGAAGUCCUACAAGGAAAAAACAUUAUUAACAUAUAUAACAAAUAGUCAUUAGAUGCCAGCAGCAUCCAAAUGCUAGACACAAAGCAUAAGAAGUCUUUCAUAGUUGUGUGGUCCAUCCAAUUUAAACCAACACAAGUGACUGCUCAAAUUUGCCAUCAACUUAGUGAGGAUAUGUAAACCGUCUAACAGAUAAGAAUAGAGAUGCACCGCAGUAAGGAAGAAACUAGAAAUUUUAUGGAUAUUAACAUGAACAUAGCACUACCCAGUACCCAGAACUGUUGGGAUACAAAAUGAGAAAAAAAAGAGAGCCAUGUUUGUCAUACAUAAUAUCUAUACAAAUAGGAUGAUAUACACAAAGUUCUAAGACGAACAAUCAUGGAAGUGCAUCAGAUGCAAGUGAAUUAAAAAGCAUGUCUAAAACUAUUUGUCGAGAUAUGCCUUACAAACACAAGAUAUGAUGAGAAGCAUCUGAACUUGUUAAUUCAUAAAAUAACUCCUUUAACAGUAACUAUUCUUAGAGAGGACUCUUCGGUGAAGGCGAAAAGAAAAGCCAGAACGAGGAGAGAUCAUAAUAAAAGUAAAUUACUUACUAAGUCAACAUUAAUAAUUUUGACCAUGUCCUGUUAUUUGGAAAUUUGGAAACUUAGACCCCAGAAACUGAUAAGAGGAGACCCAUGCACAUAUUUCUUAGAACAGAGUAUGGAUAUGCAACAAAUAUACAUUACUAUAACCACAUCCUGCUCCAGUUAGAUGAUGAAAACAGAUUAGAGGAUAGCUCACUUUUAAACCUACAGACAAGGACCAAUAUAUGAUGGUGAAAAGUGACUUGUGUAAUCAGUUUGGGUGCAAGCUUUGGCAUCGAGUUAACAUGUAACAUCCAACAUCAAGCAAAUAGGCACGCAUGGUUAUCUAAAGUACAACCUCCAAUCUCAUUAAACACCCUUGAAAACAUUCGUCAUAGCCCAUAAUCCUAAUUGUUUAAAAUGUAGUCAAUCAUAGCAUCCUUUGAUGCAGUUAUUCAUGAAAAUGAGAAUCAUCCAUGUAUCAUCUUGGUUUCAGCUGUCCAUGUAGACCAACCACCUCUCCGAAAAUAAUAUUGCAAAAUUGAGGAAAAACAAAGUAAUUCUGACACAUCAACUCUUUAGCAAGGUAUGAGUCUUUAGGUCAAUGACACGAGAGUGUUUAAGUGCUUUGAGUUUGGAUUUUAUAAUUAUAUAGAAAAAUAGUAUUAAGGAUGAAAGAGGAGGAGGGGAAGUAUUGGAGAUGGUGAGGCUGCAGGUGGCUCGAGACAGUGGCCAGUGUCAGCAAGAGAUACGAAUCAGAAAAGAUCAAGGGAGAGAGAGAGAGCGGAGCAAUAUGUUUGACAAACGGAUAUUAUCUUUCAUGGUCCAGACUUGUCAACUUGGAUUCAGAUUCAGCGAUAGGGGAAUGAUUAGACAGGGAGGAAGCAUACAAACUGAAUCAUGUAUAGUCAACUUGGACAAAUCUAGGUUUUGUUUCAAUACAAUUCAGUUCUUUGCGCUUGCUAGAGUUGGUAAAUCACCUUUCAUUGUGCUUCAGAGUAUGUUAUGUGCCAGAGUCGUGGGAUUCAGUUAUCAGGAUUUAUAGCAGUGAUAGAAAAAUUUCUUGAUAUCCAUGGCUCCCUUUAGAAAUGCAACUGGGUCGCACAAAAUGAAUAGUUUGUUUUCUAAGAAAGAAAUGAGUUCCAAAUUCUUGGUUUAUCAUGUCAGAUUUUUUUGUUCUUCUGAUGAAGACAAUCCAGCAUCUGCAUUAAAUUGGGUGUAGAUCAGGAGAACAAUGUUAAUCAAAUAGGAUCAUCCAUGCAACUGACCAUGCUAAAAAGGCCACAGGCAAUAACAUUAUGUUUACUUUUGAAAACCCUAUAUCAUUAGCGCUAGAAAUCUUGGUCCGGGUCACAAAGAAAUCAUCUCCUGUAAACCAGAUUAAGCUCUAUUGUAGAUGAGAGCAUACCAAACAUAAACAAAAACUUCUCCAGUCACAGACAUCAAAUUUGCACUAAUUAGGUUCUCUGCAAAAUUAGGGUCAUCCAAAGAUAUUUGUCCCCAUGAUAAUUACCGUGGAGAAACAUCCCAAGUGUGUCCUGUCUGAAGAAAAAGUCAUAACUUUUCCUAUUUCAACUAUCAAAAUAUAAGAUGGCACUCCCAGAUUCUCAACCAACUAGCAAUCUCUGGCGUUUGAAAGUAAAAUCUUUUGAGAUCUAGGAUUUUUCCCAGGCCGGUGUCUCACUAACUAUAUCAAUGAUAUGAGUCCUUCCUUGUUCAGCUAUUAUAAAAGAAAAAAGAAAGGUUUCUUUUCAAUUAGAUUAUCGUUAGAAAAAGCCAAUCAUAGAGGAGCAAGGCCGCCAAAACUUCACGACAGUGAACUUUGAGAUAGCACGACUAUAACAUUGGCAAACAACUCCUAACAUCGAAGUGCCUCUUGCAUGUAAAGUAUGCCUUUCAACCAACGAUAAAAAGUCAACGGCGUCAAUCAAAGGAGUAACACCAAUCAAUCGAUCAAGUUAAGGAGCCCAUCAACAGAUGGACCACAACGUAUAAAACCGAGCAACUGUCCGUAACCAAAAAAAGGCAAAAAAGAAGAGGCAGGAGAAGCGGAAACCUUGUGGUAGAGGGCUUUCCAGGCGCCAUCGUCAUUUGCAGCCCUCCUCAUCGCAGAGUUGGUCAUCGAAAGGCGGCAAAGACUGGUGUAAUCGAGGUAGCUGAGAGCAUGAGUGGUAAUCUCCGGCACCAACUGCUCCAUCAUAGACCCCCCGGCCUGCCACUCCGCCACGGUAGCCUUCUUAUGCCCCACCGCCGUGCCCCCGUCGCCGGCGAAGGAAUCGCGAUCCGCACCACCGCCAGUGCCGGCGCCGCCGCAGACGCAAGCGCAACUGCAACGCCUCUUCCUCCGGGGCCUCCGGAGGACCCCUCCGUCGGUCGAUCGUCGGACCCAAAGGGCCCAGAUGCAGCACAGGGCGGUCGCUCCGGCGGCGAUCAGCAGGGAGCGGGGAGGCAAGGGGAAGGGCUCGUCCAUCCAAAGCACAUCAAGGGCGAGGGCGGCAUCAAACCCUAGAUGAAAAGCCGCAUCACUAGGGAGACGAAGAAGGAGAUGGAUUCCGAGGAGAGGUGAGAUGGGCGAGAGAUUCUUAGCACCAAUUUGCUGUGAGGCAACGUAAUUCUCGAGCGAGCCUCCGGACUCGGUUAUUAGUUUUGAUCAACUACGAUCGUCAAAUAAUAAUCGAGUGGUGCUAAACUAAAGUAUCUACAAAAUAUAAUUUUCAUUAAAAAUAAUAUAUUUGUAAUUGAUUAAAAAAUAUGUAAAUAUUUUUUUAUUUAUGAUCGUUUGCUGACUAUUGUCAUCCAACAUAUUCUAUCACAUAAACUAAUCUAAUCCUUUAUAGAAAGCCAUAUAUGCGACACGAAUAAUUGAAUUCAAAUUAUAUUAUAUGGUAGACACAUAUGAGUUCAAAUUAUAUUCGGAUGAGCCACACAGAGGCUAAAGCCCAGAACGUGAACUAAUACUCACCGCACGAUCCAAGUCAACGGUAUAAAUCAACGGUCCCAAUAGAUAGACCCGGAUCCGAGCGGGAUGACACACACCGUAACCCGUCGCCGAUCAGGUCGCCCUAUAUAUCGCUCUUUCUUGGGGAAUCGCGGAAUCUUUUCUUCUCUCCAUCGCCCGCCGGUCGUCAAGGAAGGCCUCAUUUCGCCGCCCAACGAAACCCUCUCCCUUUCUCUCUUCUCGCUUCGAUUCCUCCGUCGCCGCGUUAUCCGAGGAUAGGAGCUGCGAUUCAUCGAACAUGCCGACCGGUAAGAGCAACUGGCUCCUCGCUUAUAUUCACCAUGAUUGCCGAGGGAUUUGAUCUCCGGUAACAAUUACAAGAAUUUUCUUGUUUCACAAAUGUGCCUCAAGGGGUUUCCUUUCCUUUUUUUCCCCCCAAUUCGGUCGAUUUAAUCUGGGCCGAGAAUAAGUGGGAAUUAAUCAUUUGAUCAUUAUAUUUUUCUCCGAAGCCUGAAUCGCGUCUAUUCACCCGAUGAAAAGUUGGUAACUCUGCGAUCGUUCUUGAUUAUGGACCAGGGCGAACUAUAUCUUAAUGUUCAUCCCUUGUUGCAUGCUUACGCACGUAAUCUCAACGGAAAUCAUCUAAUGUUGUUUGAGGAAUUCUAAUCCAACAAAUCUUGUAGAGUCUGUUGCGAGCCCUACCAAGAAUGCGGUACGCUUUGUUACAUCAUCAUUUUUGUGCUCAUAACGAUGUACAUGAUAAAGAGGUUGAAUGGCUUAAGGUUCUGAAUGCCUGUUUUCCACGCCACAUUGUAUGAUAUGUCUCGAUUGCCUAGUCAGGGCACGGGGACUUUUGUUUGUUUUUCAUGUUCCACUUGCCAUGCGUCUUGUACUCCAUUGGAAAUUCUCCAUGUGUUGAAACUAUGCUGCAAUAUCUCUCAGGUCCUUCGUGCGUCCUUAUUGUUUUGCCAACAGAAGCUUCUGCAUUGUGCUACUAAAGCUUUAAGAUAAUCACAGCUAUUCCAACAGCGAAAUGCCCUGUUCUAUUUGCAACGUCCUAAAAAAACCUGUGCUAUUUUGGAUUCCUUAAAAAAUCAUUUACAGCACAGGGAUUUAGAUAGUUUCGAUUAAAUUCUUUAGAGUGCCCUAUUAUCUUGAUUAAUUUGCAUUUUUUUCUGAAAACUCCUUUGGCAUUCUUUUCUUGUGUCAAAAGAUUCUCAGCUCAUGAAUUUGAGAGUCUGUUACAUGCAUAAGUUGUACUUAGAUGUAGUCAAUGCGUUUAUCAUCCAUCAAUAUAAUUAUUAUUUUGGAUUAUUGGAAGAACUAGCUUACUUAUUUUAUCUUAUUCGUACCUUGCUAAAUAAGUAAAAGAAAAGCUAAGCAACAUGAUAGGCAGAAAACUGUGAGCACAAUUUUCCUCUCUUGACCAAUGCGUUCGAUCUGUCAUUUCUCCCAGGUAAAGAAUUAUAGUGUUAUACUCUAGCCAGAAGCAAUUCUUAGCUUCCCAAGCCCACUGGAGAUUUCAUUAUAUGAAUAAUUUUCUUUGGGUUAUGUGAAUAGUUAUUUGGAUACUUUUUUCUUAUGCUGCAAAUCAUGUCAUUUCCAAUUAAAGUGUUUCCUCGUUUUUCUUGGUAACUGAUCAUUAUGUUUACUAAUUUACAAUUUCUGCUGGCAUAAUAUGGAAUAGUUAUGUGUUUAUCGUUGUGCAGUUAGUGUCAAAUGGAAAAAACAAAUCUUUCCAGCCGUGGAAAUCGGCACUAGUCAACCUCCCUUUGAAUUUAAAAGUCAGUUGUGUGCUUCAAGUGGUGUAUCCCCUGAGAGGCAAAAAAUUAUGGUCCAGGGUGCUCUUCUGAAGGUAUAUGAACUUCCAUGUUAUAUGGUUUUUUAAUAAAUUUGUUCUGAAGUUAUAAGAAGCAUUUUCCUUUCACGCGGGAUGAUGCAGAUUGGACAACUUUAUGUGUCAAAGAGGUGGUUUUCUUUUCUUGAUUUUUGAUGCUUUUUAUAUCUUAUGAAUACAUAAUAUGAAGUUUUUUUAGAUAUUUGACAGGGUCAGAAGUUGUUGAUGAUGGGCACUGCAGACGAGAUAGUGCAGGCUCCAUAGAGAGGUCCUGUAUUUAUGGAGGAUUUCCCAGAAGAAGACCAAGUAGUAGCUUAAGUGAGUCUUAAUCGUAUCAUCAUCAAUCUAAGAAUCAUCCAGUUGCUGUGAUUCAUCAGAAUUCGUGUUGGACUUUUGGAUUUCCAAAAUUGACCAUCAAAUUGAAUGAUGCUAAAAUAUGCAAGAUCAGGAUCAGUUAUGAUUAGCAAUAGGAGUCGAGAUAGGAAUGUCUGACCAAAUGAGUUGAUCCUUGCUAUGCCAGCUGGGUAAGCUGAGCGAUGAAAGGAAUGUCAGCUUGAACAACCCUUGUUAAAGCUUGAGCUUGUUGGGUUAGGUUAAUGAAUGCUUCGAUGAGAAUUGUGAUACUGGGUGGGAGUGGAGUAACUGAUGGGUGGUUGAUUGCCGCAUUAUGGAAUAGUCGAUGGAAGGUAUAAAUCGGGAAGGUGGGGUUUUCGAUGGAUCCUAAAGUAAGAUUGGGGAGAGUUGGAUCCUCCUUAUUGCCCAAGAGGGACCUACAUGAUUUUCCUUGGACAUAUUGGGAGGGGCCCUCCUUUAAGCGCUAAUAUGUUAAAGCAGAUUUUGGUUGUUCGAUUGGAAUGCUGAUUUGGAACCAACCAAGCUCCUACUCUUUUCAUCUUAGCGGAAGGUGGUAUUAGGUUGAGAGGUUUCGUGAUUGUCUAAUUUGGAGCUACGUUGAACCCUACGAAACUGUGUCGGGCAUGCUCAACAAAGCUCUUGAAGCUUAAGUUAGCACUCGAAUAAGUGGUUUUAGCUAGACAUUGAGUUUGUAAAGGUUGAAUAUACUAAAAAGAGACCAGCUCGGAGAACAUGCCUAAGGAGCCCUUCUAUAUUGAGGUUUAGGAUAAUUUCACUUGAGGCUGUGGUUUAAGUCGAAAACGGCCAUGUGUCUUCUCUGGUGUUGGGUGCCAUUGUUAUACAUCGAAUCCAGAGAAUAUGAUGCGAUUGCGAGUGGGUCGUAACGUCUGGAGGGUGACAUCAUGUCAGCCACAUGGUGGUGAGGUGUCGACCAUGUGAUGGAGUGUCAACCACACGGUGAUGAGUCAUCCACGAUCAUUAUUUUGCAGUCAUUAUACCCAUAUCAUCGUCCAACCGUAAUUUGCAGUCACUAACCUCAUGAGAUCAACAAAGCCAGAUCUGCACCUGAGUCGGACCUUACUUUAAUGGAUUUAUUUGGACCAUAUAGAGGUCUAACUGCAUUUCUAGUCUGGUAUUUUAAUCUUACCUUCUCAUCAGUCAAAAUUAUGGUGUCUGAAUUUCACACCAUUAAACUUCAAGGGUUAUAUGUCAUGUAUUACAUCAUAUAACGUGUUAUAUGGGAAUCAUAAUUCCAUGUCGUUUGUCAGUUGUGUGACCCCAUUGUUGAUGCAUGAUUGAAAACUUUUCAUGUACACUUUGAGUUGUCGUUUCAUUGGCCAUCUAUUGUUGUUUAAUAACUUGAUUAUUGACAUUUUUAUGAGGUAAUGUUUCUGCAUCCAUAUGCAUGCAUGCAUGUGAACUACAUUGACAGAGAGAGAAAUAGAGCUAAUUGUUUUCAUCAAUUGUACCAUCUUUGCCACAUUGCCAAACACAAAUUCAGAACUUGUAUAAAGGUUCCACUAAGGAUCCUCUUCCCGCUUGAAGAAGAGCAGGCCUGCUGUGUGUGGCUUCACAUGGUACAGGCACCAGACCAGAGCACUGUGGAUGUGCCGCUGCAUGAUUAAUGCUUACGUAGAUUCAUAAAGCUCAUCUGUAGUCAUCAAACGACUCCUGAAAAUGAAAUUUGAAAUGGCUUUAUUAAGUUCAUUAAGCGUAGUAUCCAUAAAACAUUGGGAAGUCCCUCUGUUAUCAUUCAACUUUCAAGUUUCAUGAAGAGAGAGCUAAUUGCUUGCCACAGAAUUGCUUGAUCAUCUUUACUGUGUUGUGUUCUGAAGAAAAGGUGCAGUUAACUGGAAUUUAUGACUUGGUCGCUGUGUUGACUCACGAGGGAAGGAGUGCCGACUAUGUCUUCUGGGUGAAACAAGAAAAUGGUGCGUGCUUAAUAAGCUCAUAGGUUCUUUUAUGCUUGCUCUUUUUAUGUUCCUUGUGUAGCUCCUUUUGACGCAGGAAAAUGGAUUCAGUACGAUGAUCACAAUCCAAUCCCGCCAAGGGUAGAAAGGAUAUUACAAAGCUAUCUGGCGGCAGUAAGACUCUUCAAGAGAAAUCACACACGAUCGAUCUACAUUUUGUUUUUCUUUUCUCUUUUGAAUAAGCUCUCACAAAUGAACCAUAUAACAUUUUUUUCUGGCAGGUGAUUGGCACAUGGCAGAAACAUCUGCAUGGAUAAAAGCCCAAGCUGGUUUGAUACGAUGGAACAUUGAGAAAAAAAAAAAAGAAGAAAAUUUUAAGAUGAAAAUGCCUCUAUAUUGUUUGUAAUAUAACCUAUUUUGUAUUGAUUAUUGUUUGAUAUAUGGUCCCCUCAAGUGUGCUACAUCCUUUUUGUGUUUUUCUGAUCAUCAAGGUACCUCUGUCCAAGAAGUUGGGUGAUCCAGAACGAAAUUACAGGAACCGUUUGCUUUAUAUGCUCUCAUUUUGGAUAUCCAUAUUAUUCUUCUCGAUAUUACCUGAGUUGUUUUUUUCUUUGGCCUAAGUGCCAGAAUGCUCUCAUUCUGGCACUUAGGCCAAAGAAAAAAACAACUCAGGCAUAACAAUUUACAUCAAGGAUAAACAAUGAAAGUUAUUUAUUAUCCAAACUUAGACACGUACGUUACAGGAAAUAAUCCAACAACAGAGGUAGUGAACUCUCACAGCAAGCUAACGAAGACAUGUACGUGUAUAAUAAGACAAGGCACCUCCAGUACCAGGACCAGGACCAUGUUUGCGUCUAUCUAACCGUUGUGUCAUUAAACUCCAGUACUGAAAGGGCAUCUGGGUGGAGUAUAACAAUCUUGUUCGAUUAAGACACACCGAUUUCUUUAAAAUCCAACAACACAAAAUCAUGCCGGUCCGAUCAACAGCCCCCAGCGUUCAACAGCAUAACGGCAUCUUUGUCAGGAACAAAGGUGUAACCUCAUGUUACAUAUAUUCAGGAGCAGCAGCUACUCUUCUGGCCAACUGGUUGACCCCGCAUGUGUACCGUUGUAGGUUUGCUGGCACUUCCACCCGGUUGGCUUGCCAUUCUGUCCAAGGUAAAAACAAAAAAAAUGGAUCGAACUGGCAUAAGUAUCAUCUCCUAGUCCAGUGGUUAACAACAAACAAUGAAACCUCAUUAAAAAAAAGAAGCCCAAGAACUCUUCGAUGCAGAUGUUGACAAGUAUUAAGCUCACCUGUCUUUUAUAUCAGCAGCCAUGGUCAUAAAUGCUUUCUCUACAUUGGUAGAAUCCUUGGCACUUGUCUCCAGGAAUGGUAUGCCAAUCUCAUCAGCAAAUGCCUUCAAGUAGCAAAGCCAAAUACCACCCUAGUUCACUUCACUUCAUUUGCAGUCUACAGAAUACAAUAUAUUCUACCUUAAUCCUCGAAACUGACUAGUAGGAAUAAUUACCUUGCCAGUUUCAUAAGAUACCACUCUACCAUCCGUCAGAUCACAUUUGUUUCCCACCAGAAGCUUGUUCACAUUUUCGCUGGCAUACCUGUCAAUCUCAUUGAGCCAUUGCUUGACGUUGUUGAAACUUUCUUGGUCGGUCACAUCAUAAACUACCUGUCAUGUGCCAGACUAUCAACCAAAACAGCAUACUCAUCCAUGGAAUUUUAAGUCACAACAAGAAUGAUGAGGGAUCUCACAAUAAUCCCAUGUGCACCACGGUAGUAGCUACUCGUGAUUGUCCUAAAGCGUUCCUGUCCAGCAGUGUCCCACUACAAUAGAAAGAAGAGGUAAUGCCAUGACUAAGUCCUUCAAACACUUCCAGACACUGACAAAGCUCCUACUUACAAUUUGAAGUUUUAUGGUCUUCCCAUCCUGCUCCACUGUUCGAAUUUUCUAAUAAGAUGGAACAAAUUGUUAAAUGGUAUAUAAGUAAGGUUUUGGUAUGGGCGAGGAUAUAAAUGGAGGAGAGAGGAAAAAGAGUGUAUAGUAUUAAUGCACUCACAAAGUCAACACCAAUUGUACUGAUGUAACUUUCUAUAUAGGAAUCAUCCUGCAGCAAGAAAAGUAAAACAUAUAAUAGAUCUCAAAAAAUGAAUAAAAAGUAGAAAUAAAUAGGCAGUAAAAUCAGAAGUCAAAGUAGCACAUUAUACACCAAGAGCUAACAUUCUUAAGAAUCUAUAAGAACCAUGGUUACUUUACAUCAUGUAUGAUUGUCAAUUGGCCAUCAAUUUGAAACUCAGCCAAAAGGUUUAAAUACUCAAUACUGCCAAGCACCGCAUAGUCACAAAGUGAUACUGUGAACACAUUUUAUCUUCAUCCUAAGAUGUUUAAGCCCAUGCUCGUAAGUGCUCCUAUGGUAAUAAUGUUCCUAAGGUUCAAAUGUAAAAUUUAAAGCAAUAACAGAGUAUUAUUAUAAAACUAUAGCAAGUGAGAAAGAACCGAGGGCCGGGAGAGAGAGAGAGAGAGAGAGUCUUCACCGCAAAUCUCAAUAGAAGGCAUGACUUCCCAACCCCUGAAUCUCCAAUAAGCAAAAGCUUGAAAAGAUAGUCACUGCAAAAUAUACAUUGGUCAAGGUUGCUCAAGUUCUAAGUUUCCAUUUCUUAAUACAAAAAAAACCAAAUCAAUCUCGUCUUUCUUGCAUGAUAGGCGUAUGGGCAAAGGCGAAUUUGCUAUACUAAUACUUCAUAAACUAAGCAAUUAUAAAGUUAAAAUAUUGUCAAUUAACUAAAAUGUGAGAGCUCAAUAAGUGCACAUGAUGUUAAUAAAUACGUUCACCGAUAGCUAAGAAAGCAAAACAAUGCCGACAUAUCAUGUAAUCAGCAAGUCUAUGAGCAAUAAAUCAUUCAAAAAAUGUCUAACAAAUAAUGUUUAUUGCCUAUUCUCAUCUCCCGUUUCAAAGCAUUGAAUUACCAUGUGCUGCCAGUUCUUGACUAGAUGAUAAAUCUACCUCAGCAGCUUUGAGUCUUUUGGCUCUACUCAUAAACAAGGUGCAAGAAAACAGCUAAAUAUAUACCUAACUAGAGCGAAUGUUUUGUUUAAAACGCCAAGUUUCUUUCUUCAAUAUCCUGUAUUAGAUGUCAGUGCUAAUGUUUAGGAAUGACAUUCUUACAAAUUUUUGUUUGUUAAAUCACAUCAGAAGUCCUUGUUUUUUCAUUAAGAACAUCUUCAUAAGGAAGACAUCGAAGACACCACAUACACACUAUAGAGUGGUCCAUCUGAGGGUACAACAAGAUGCCAUGUGACGGUAACUCAUUUGGAAGGCUCACUCAUAGAACACACAUCAUGGAAUGUUUAACUAACAAUCUCACUCCAGAAAGUUCUUGAUUGCUAGGGUAAGGACUUCCGCAAUAGUUUAACCCGUUUCCAUUUUUUAUUUUCCAACAAAAGCUAUAAUCAAUUACGUGAAUUCAACUCUCAGGAAUUGUAUAUGAUGAUUGCAAUCACGCAGAAUAGGAGGUAGUAAUCGGUACUAGAUAGCUAUAAUGGACACAAACAGAUAUUUUAAUCUAUUUACUACCACAAAGAUAUGAAAUGAAUCAUAAGAAUCUCCCGUUCCAUGUCGAUAGUGGAUCUACACAUAUCACAACAUUCAGUCAGAGAAAGUAGUGCUAUAUUCACCCCACGCGCCCCCAAUUAAAAUUACCCAAAAUCACAAAACCAACCGAUUAACCCUAAACAUUAGCAGUAUCAAAAAAAUAUUGGCCACCAUCUGGUGCGGCAUACAAAAAGGAGGAGAGAACCUAACCACACAGGGAUCCGGAACUCGCUCGCCCGUGAAGAGCGAAAAGUCGGCUAUAACAUAUUAUCAUUUAGGAUACCAACAAAAUAAAGAAAUGGGAGAAGAGAUGAUCCAGACCGAAUCAAGAACAGCAAACCCUAGUUAAUCGCGGGCAGGAUGUCUUGGCAAAGGAAAAGAGGGGAAAUCGAGCAGCGUAGGAGCUUACUAUUCUGGAGUCAUGGCGAACGAAGACUUGGAUCCCUAACACGAGGAGACUCCUGCAGGACAAGGAUGAAAAUGCCGGAGAGGAGUCGUCGGAACGGAUAAAGGUUAGCGGGGAAGGAUCGACGAGUUCAUUUAUAGAGGAAGUAAGUUAGCAAGUCAACACCGUUCAACCACCGAAUCGUUCUGGACACUCGAAGGUUCGCUCGCGCUAGCCAUCAGUUGGGACGUCUUAACGCCUGCGGCUGAGGCGCAUGGCGCACGUGCCGACCGCGGCUGGGCCCCUUUUUAGGGCAGCCUGUAAUGCAGCCGCGCAAGGUGAGGUGAGACUUUCCAUUGCAAGGCAACGUGAAACGAAUAAUAAUCCACCGGAUAACGCCACCCUUCGUCUUUACCCACCUUUCUUAUGCUCGGUGGCAGUGUGUGACGUAAUCAAUGAAAACGUCUCCAAUGAGGAUUUGGUACUUUCGUCGGGUUGCGACAAAGAAGGGAACCAAUUCCUCAAAUAAAAGUGGCUCCCACCAAAACGUGUCAAGACCUUUGGGCCGAAGAUAAGCCCUGGGCUGAUCCAGUCAGAUGGUUGAUCUAUGGGCUUUCAUCCAGGGAGCUGUGUGGACCGAUUAAACCAAAAUUAAUUUGUCGACCCUAAAAGCUGUUAUUUCAUAAAAUUGCUGAUUUUUAAGUUGUCAUCGACGAUUAAACCAAUAUAAUUUGUUUGUUGAUGGAACCAAGAAACACUUGUGGCCUAAUCUUGUAAUGACACAAAUAGUAAUCAUGGCUUCCCCUUAAAUUUCUCCGAUUAUGCAUGUGUACUCACUCUAUCGAGCAUUGUCACGUGUACUUCUGGAUUUGUGCUGCAAAGAUAUUUUUGUUCUUUUUUAAGUGCGAAGUGUUUCUUGUUUUACUUGUGUUUCCGCGCAGAGGAAUCGUUUUGUUCCGAGCUAUUUCUGAAAUCUGAAAGAAAGAAAAAUAUUCAUACCGUGACAGGACACACAAUUGUGCCACAGGAGAGUGCCACGUCGAACGCUAGAGCUGAUGUCAUGAGACCCCCGCUGUGUUCCGGGGCUCGAGGACUUGGUGACGUGUCGUCCACGGUCCACGUGCAUGUUGACGAAGGAAAAGUGUUCCGUGCCUUGAGCGAGACAGGUGACCUGAGUCUCUCUCGUUUAAUUUAUUCUCGAAGGGUUGCCUCGUCUCGCCUCGACCCAACCGGGCCGAACCGGGCUGCUUUGUCCGGAAUAGUGCUUAGAACUAUUUAUAGGGCCGUGAUCCGUUCAUUCAGCCGGCUUUAGACCAUCAAAAACCCUUAACGGCUCGAGCGUUCCUAAAACCCUAAAUCGCUCGCGUGCGGAGGAGGCGAUUACGAACCCUCGAAUCCCUGCUGGGUUUCUCCGCUUCGGUCGAGGAUGAGGAAGAAGGUGGACGACCGCAUCCGAACCCUCAUCGAGAAUGGUGUUAAGCUCAGACAUCGUUCUAUGUUCCUCAUCGUCGGCGACAAAUCCCGAGAUCAGGUGACUUCCCUCUUCCCCUCAACUGUGCACCUGGUGUUAGUUCUUUGAUCAUGAAAUUUAACCCUCAUCGAUUACUCCGUUCGAACCGCCUUUUGUUUUUUGUUUUAUUAAAAAAAUAAUGAAAUUGAUUGUGGCUCUCAACUUUAUACCUGGUUUUAGGCCCUUUAUUCUGAUUUCUUGACAGUCAUUGGCAGUUUUAAACGGUUAAAAGUUUUUUGUGUUUGGAUACUUGGAUUAAGUUUAAGUUGAGCCACUAAAAUAUGCCCUGAGAUAUCACGAAUAAUUAGACUAGAGUUUUCAUUAUUAGGUAAAGUGUUUUGAAGUGGGAAAGAAAGCGGCUGCAAGAAAUAGGAACAAGAACUCAUAAUUUUGUUGUCGUUGAUCGUUAAUUUUGGUUUCAUUGUGCUUGUGGUGCAUAUUAUCAUGCAGAUCUUGCCUUUAAAUUCUUGUCAUCUGAUAAAGGUAAUAUCAUGACUGCAUGCAGAUUGUGAAUCUCCAUUACAUGUUAAGCAAGGCAGUCGUGAAGUCUCGCCCAACUGUGUUGUGGUGCUACAAAGAUAAGCUUGAGCUUAGCAGGUGCUGCUUUUACUUGCGAUUUUCUUUCUUAAGCCUUUGCAUGUAAUAGCUUUGUAUUACUUGGUAUCUAGAUUCUUCUUGAUGCUUCUUGUAUCUAAUUGCUAUUUUUAUCUGGUGUUUUCACCUGAUCUGACUAAUGAAUUCUUAUAUUAGUCACAAGAAAAAACGUGCCAAGCAGAUAAAGAAGUUGAUGCAGAGAGGGUUGCUUGAUCCUGAAAAAGUUGAUCCUUUUUCACUUUUUGUUGAGAGCGGAAAUAUAACAUAUUGCUUAUAUAAAGAUUCUGAAAGGAUUCUUGGAAAUACAUUUGGAAUGUGCAUCUUACAGGUUUGUUGUUGCAAAUUACUGGUAGAUAUUGCAAUUAGCUUGCUCUUGUUUCUUACCUCUUAAUAUUUUUUAUUACUUUCUUUUGCUAAUGGUGUUGGUACAUUCUUGUAGGAUUUUGAGGCAUUGACACCUAACCUUCUUGCAAGAACUAUCGAGACAGUGGAGGGUGGUGGGCUCAUAAUCUUGUUGCUCCGAUCUCUUUCCUCUCUUACCAGUCUCUACACCAUGGUCAUGGUAAUCUUCAGAGCAACCGUAGCUUGUAAUUGAAUGAAUGCUCUUGUUCUUGUUUAAUACUGAUUAAGGAUUUCUGACCUGAACAUGUGAUGGUCUAUUCGGUACCAUGUAGGUACAUGACCUCUUGUAUCAGUACCUAUAUUAUGCCUGAUUCAUCAUUUCCUGUGCAGCCAAUCUAAAGGAGCCUUUAUUUGUCACAUUCUGUUUUAAAUAUCACUUCCCAAGGGAUUUUUUUUUUGUUGGCACUCUCAUUAUUUAGUUUGCUGUGGAUCUUUGCCCCUUUUUUCUUUUUAUUUUUCUGAUAUUUUUGUGCUAAUAAAUUAUUUUUUAAAAUUUAGGUACCUUCUUAAUUUCUGAUAUGUUUUUUCCCCUAAGUUUUGUUAUUCUCUUUAUUGCAUUUUGCAUGUCCUAAGUUGUUUUCAGAGUUUAUAUUUGUGAAAUUUAACAGGUAUCUAACUUUCAGCUUAUAGAAUGUCCUUGAUGCAUCAUUUGCACUUAAGAAUAGUUUGAAAUAGGAUUUAUGCACUUUAUGCCUUUUUGGUGGACUUCUUAUAUUUUUCGAUCUUUUUGUCCCUUGGUUUCAGACGUUAGCUGUUUAACCUUUUUAUUCAUCUCUCGGUUUCAGGAUGUACAUGAGAGAUUCCGAACCGAGUCUCAUUCUCAUGCGGCUGCACGGUUCAAUGAAAGGUUCUUGCUGUCUAUUGCCUUAUGCAAGGCAUGUGUUAUAAUGGAUGAUGAGCUUAACAUUUUGCCAAUAUCGUCUCAUAUAAGAUCAAUUCAGUCUGUAUCAACAACGGAGGUAUGAUUGUCUCGAAUAUUUUUGAGCCAUUUCUUGGAAUUUGGAUGUUGGUGCAUCCUAUUGGCAUGUGCUCACAUAUAAUAUUUUGCAUAUUGCUGAUUAAGUUCAUCAACAACAGACACCAUAAUGCAUGGAUUGCAGUCUCUUGUUCAUGUGGCUUCGUUUUGUUAUUUGAGAAUUCCAUCAGUUCUUAUUGUGUGGUUUUCCUAAAUGCUGAAGGAUCCUGAGGGCUUAUCUGAAAGGGAACGGGAAUUAAAGAAUCUCAAGGACCAAUUUCAUGAUGAUUUUCCUGUUGGUCCGCUGAUUGGGAAGUGUUGUACGAUGGACCAAGUAAAUACUGUGGAUGCCCAGAUAAUUUUAUCUAUUACCUCUUUUCUAGUUUGUUUGAUUUGAGUGAUACAUGAAUCUGUAACCAUACAGGGAAAAGCUGUUAUUACUUUUCUUGAUGCUAUUCUUGACAAAACACUACGAAGUACUGUUGCUUUGAUAGCUGCUCGUGGGCGUGGAAAAUCUGCUGCUCUGGGCCUUGCAGUCGCUGGAGCUGUUGCUGCAGGGUUACAUUUAUAACCCAUUUCUACUUCAUUAUUCUUUUUUACUCAAACUUUUACCUGUUGCCUACUUGCCUUCUCAUUUAGGUACUCCAAUAUAUUUGUCACUGCACCCAGCCCAGAGAAUCUCAAGACCUUGUUUGAGUUUGUUUGUAAGGGGAUCAAUGCAUUGGAAUACAAGGUUUGCAGAUUUUUCAUGUUAGAUAACAAUUCUUUGCUGUGACAUCAUCAGACAUCAUUUGGAAUACCCAGUAUUGCACACAUUUGUCUUAUUACUUUUCUCUAUUCAUUAUCCCAAAGAACCACGCUGACAUCAUCUGACAGUUGAUAAUCAGAUUUUGUGAUUUUGGUAUAAAAAAUUGCAAGUGAUGCAACAAUUUUUAUCUCAUAUUGUUAUGCAUGAUAGAUGAGUAAAAUCUUUUGUUUUUUUAUUAUUCUAAGCAUUUUAAUCUUUUUUCCCUUUCAAAUAGACCAAAUUGGAAUUGCGAAAUCUUGAUUUUAAAUUGUUGAGAAUUUUUAUUCUUACAUGUAAAAUUGUCAAAGUAGCUAGCCAAAAAAAUGGUGUAUGCUUUGCUAUACUGAUGCCUUAUCACAUCAUAUGGAAAUCAGGUAUUGAUGUAUGCUUUGUAGUUGGCAUGUGAAGAUAUGGUUCUUGUCUGAUGACAGUGUAUAACAUUUCAAUGACUGAUUAAUCUUUAUCUUGUCAGUAUCAAUUAAGAUUUCCAUUAUGCCUACUUUUCAAUUUCAUGGUUUGCUUUGACAAACUUGAUAACCAUUUCCUUCUGCUCUGUGCAUCUGAUGUAUUUUUUGCUUUUCUUGUAUCUGCUACUUUGUUCUGGUUUACAUUCUAAUUUAAACUUCAUUGAUCAUUUUGUUUGUUACUUUUUUUUUAAUGUUACAUUGGAUUGCUUUUAGGAACAUUUACACUAUGACCUGGUGAAGAGUGCUGAUCCUGAAUUGAAGAAAGCAACAAUUCAGAUAAAUAUCUAUAAGCAACAUCGCCAGACGAUUCAGGUGAUAUAAUAUUGCUCUGUUUUUUGUUAUUGUAAGUAAAUUUUAUUCUGUAUUUCCUUUACUGGGUUGUUUUGUUACUUCGAGAAUAUAUUUUUUGAUGGGAAGUAGUCAUGAUGGGAGAAAUUUCUUAUAUAGGCUUUUAGAACUAAUUGUCCAUAUAUUACAUGUAGAUGUUUUCUUAGUGAAGAAGUGCAUUAAGUUUCAAUGGCACAAAGUCUUUUCAUGUUUAGGAUAUUUCUAAAUAAGUUUUGCUAUGUUUUUUUCUUCUAAAUAUGAACCUUACGAACUAAUGGCUCCACCCAUCUAAGCAAGAUGUUCUUUUGGACAGUACUUGAGGCCACAUGACCAUGCAAAGCUUUCUCAAGUUGAGCUCCUAGUUGUUGAUGAAGCUGCUGCUAUUCCAUUACCCAUCGUAAAAUCCUUGCUUGGACCUUAUCUGGUCUUCCUCUCAUCUACUGUCAAUGGGUAUGAUAUGCCAUCUUAAGUUGUCAUGUCCAUGCCAUUGUUUACCAUUGAUUUAUUAUACAUUUGGACAAAUGUACAAUAAGUUGAUGUAAUAACCGGUUAUUGUAUCUUUUUCAUUAAGCUACGAAGGAACUGGCCGGUCUUUGUCACUAAAGCUUCUUCAGCAAUUAGAAUCACAAAGCCAAAUGCCUAGUCAGGGUGCUGAUGGCAAUCAUUCUGGUAAAGUCAAUGAUUUUCGAUUAUUUGUGAUGUAUAUUUGAAGCAUUUCCUGCAUAUUUCAAGCUAGUUUAAUAGGAACCAAAAAAUAGUCGUGUUGUCUUUUUGAAGAACCCUGCUUUGAUAUAUAAGUUUUGCUGAGACAAGCUUGGUUAGCUAUCAAAGGGGGCUGGUCACAUCAAAUAUGAUAUGGUUCUGUUGUUGUCAGCUUCAUUAUUGUCUAAAUCUUCCAUGCAAAAAAAGUCUAAAUCUUUCAUAAGAAUAUUUAUCAUGAUAUUGAGUAUAUAUUUUAUGUUCAGUAAUCUUCUGCAAAAUAAGAUCAUUGCUAUGCCUCUUUCAUAUCAUUUCCUUGUAUUUCUUCCAGUUGCUUCUUUUUUAGUGUAGAUCUGACGAGUUCAAAUAUCGUGUAGUGAAUAAUUAGUAGACAUGCUGUUGGAUGACAUGAGAUAGGGAUGACGAUCAAAGAAAGUAUUGGUGCAGAGGAUAUGUUGGCCCUUGGUCUUGAGGACCUGGUCCUUGGUAGCUAAUAAUGGUGCAUGAAAUACUUCUUGACGUGGCGACAUAAAACUAGUUACUGUUACUGACAUGGGCAAGGGGCUCAUCUUGGCAAGGCAUAAAAAAAGGCUCUGACUGGAGUUAGUGGUUAAAGUUCAUGUUAUUUUUUGCAAGCUUUAUGGAACACAAGUUAUCUUCCUUUAACUUUAUUUUUAUGUGGUCGUCAAUACAUUUUGAUUGUUAGCUUAUCUUCUCAUUCAAUUCAUUUGAUGUUACAGGAAAAACAAUUAUACAGCAGUCCUAGAAUUCCUUUUAGUUUUUUACUUGGCAAUGGCUGCACAAGUUGUCAUGUCUCAUGUUCUUCUCCAUAGUUCAUAUAUACGGUCCCUUUAUGGUAUAAUCUUGAUGCAUUUACCCAUUGUUUCAUUUGUUAAGCAUUUCAUUUAGAUGCUUAAGCCCAAAUAGUUGGUAUAUGUGUAGUUCUUGAAGCAGCAUAUCUUGUACCAUCUUCACUAUUAAGUUUAAUGACCUUGAAGCGGAAAUGCUAAUUGGUGCUUCUCUGCUUUGCCUACUUUAUGUUGUCAUUGUUUUGCACUAUUGGCAUGCAAGUAGAAAGCAACUUUCUUGAAAGUACAUGUUCAAAGGUAAUCAUCUUGAGUAGUUUUCGAUAUCAAAUUUAAGUGUUUCUUUUAGGUUUUAUUAUGCAAGUUGAAAUGUGCGUAGGGAAUUAUGGACUGAGCUUUAGAGCUUUACCUUUCUUUUUAUUUUUGUUAUUACUCUUUGGUUUUGACCUUUAUAUCUUUAAUUUUAGGUAGGCUUUUCAAAAAGGUUGAAUUGAAUGAAUCUAUCAGAUAUGCCUCUGGGGAUCCAAUUGAGUCUUGGCUCAAUGGUUUGCUUUGCUUGGAUGUUGCAAGUUAUAUUCCAAAUAUUAGCAGGUCAGUGUCAUGUUACUGAAAGCUAGACCAUGUCAUGUUGUUCUCGUGUUUAUCAUUAACGUUUCUCUAUCAUUAUAGACUACCACAUCCAAGUGAGUGUGAUCUUUAUUAUGUCAAUCGAGACACACUUUUUUCAUAUCACAAAGAAAGUGAGAUAUUUUUACAGGUAGCCAAUAAAGUUUAUGCUUCAAUUUCUUUCAAUGCUUAGAGUUCAAACUGACAUGUAUAAUUUUAUAUUUCAGCGCAUGAUGGCCCUUUAUGUUGCCUCCCACUAUAAAAAUUCACCUAAUGACUUGCAACUGAUGGCUGAUGCUCCAUCUCACCACUUGUUUGUGUUGCUUGGUAUAGUUUGCUUGUUGUUGGUACCAAUUACAUUUAGCCAAAUAGGCGAGCAAGUGCUUGUUCUAAUAUUCGUUCGCUGACUGCAUCUGUUUGCUGUAUCUUUUUGCAGGUCCUGUUGAUGAAUCAAAAAAUCAUCUUCCGGAUAUUUUAUGUGUUAUUCAGGUUGAUCUGUGCUUUUUACCCAUCAUACCUGUGUGACAUGUUUUAAUGCUCUUUUAGUUCAAAGUAAUAAAAAAGAAAUUUUAGGUUUUGAUAGAAAAACUUGACUGAUGUGACAUGAAGUAUCAUGUCACAUUAAUAUCCAUCAAACAUGGAUUUUCUUUUUGCGUUGAUUUUAAGUGUUCACAUAUUUUAAGGCCCUUGAAAUCAGCUUGUCCCUAGGGCUUAAGUUCCUCUAAUAGUACAAGUGUCAUGUUUUCUGGUGGAGUCACAUAAUUAAUAGAAAAAGUGUCUGUUUUUCUAGUGGAGUUACAGAGCAUAAGAAUUUGUUUUGAUAAUUUUCAUUUAUGUUGAUUUUAGGUCAAGUAGAAUGACACUUAAGUUGACUUAGUUAUUACACAAGAAGUCAAUGUUUUAGCAGAAUCUUAGCUUUUAUCAACUUGGAAUAACUCACAAAGUCCUCUGCUAAUUGAUUUUUAUGCUAAACAUUGUACAUUGAGAUAUUUCUUUCCGGUUUCAACCAUACAGAUCAUGUUUCAUGGCUAGUCAUAGGUUGGAAGGCAAUUUUCUCUUGAAUCAGCAUGCAAAUUUACCUUUUUUCAUAUAAUUUUCAGGUUUGCCUUGAAGGACAAAUAUCACGCAAGUCUGCAAUAAAAAGUUUAAGCGAGGGCCGCCAACCUUUUGGUGAUCAGAUACCUUGGAAGUUUUGUGAACAAUUUCAAGAUAAUGUCUUCCCUACUCUCUCUGGAGCUCGAAUAGUGCGCAUCGCAGUACAUCCAAGUGCCUUGAGGGUAAUUUGUGUGUCUUUUUUUGUGUUCCAUGUUUAUUACUUUCAUACUCUGUUUAUGAAACAUUAUCAUGUUGAUUGUUGCAGCUUGGAUAUGGCUCAACUGCCGUGGAUCUACUAACAAGGUCUGAUUUCCUGUUAUUUCUAUUUUCAUUGUUCUUAAUUCUUUGGUUUUCUUAUUUGAUGUUAGAUGUGCAUUAUGAAACACCUUAAUCAUGUUCUUCCUUCCAAAAUGUGUUGUUAGGCUGACUAACCUUAAGCAUGAUUUCAGAUACUGUUUGGAUCAUUGCAUACUAACUGGUGUAGGAACAUAAAGUUUGGUACUGCUUGGUAUUCAUUUGUUAAAUAUUUUCUGUAAUACCUGGUGGUACAUGUUGAUUUAUCACUUGGUUUACCAGUACCAUACCAAUCGGACUAAUUAUUGAAAUCAGCAUCUGAAUGGGUAUUAAAACCUUUCCUGAAAGGAUUAUCAUUGGAAACCUUGCUGAAAAUUGACAGACAAGUGCUUGGAACUCUCAAUGGUUGACUCAGUAGCCUUAGGGGAUCUCUUUGUUGUAGGAAUUGAUGAAUGGGCCUAUAAGUGGUAUGUCAAGUAAUGCAUGGAAAGGCUUACUAUGCUCUACUAAGGUUUCAUUUCAUUGCUUAGCAGGCCACCGGCUUGAAAUAGUUAUCUUCUGUCCCUCCUAAGAUUGAUAAUUGUGAUGGUACUACAAUAGAGGUAAAUUGUCAGAUUUCAUUGUGGAUCUUUCCAGCGAUUUAAAAAGGCGCUCGGGUGCUCACCUAGGUGCUCGGGCGAGGCGAGGCGAGGCCCGAGCGCCUCGCUAAUCUCUCAGGCGGCGUGCUUCAAACAGGCGUCGCCUAGGCGCUUCGGGCGAGCGCCUGGGUUAACCAAAGCAACCGAACCAGGAUUUUAGGUCUGGUUCAGUCCUGGUUCGGUCUCCGACGGUUAGUUGGUUCAAUUGAACCAACUAAAACCGAUAUAAGUGACAACCCAACCGUAACCCUCGCCGUUGCCGCUCCCGAUCCCAAUCCCGAUCCCGCUGCUCGCAAACGCUGCCGCUGUCGCCGCUCGCGCCUCCCGCCGCUCCCGCUCCUGCUCCCGCUACCGCUGUCGCCGCUCCCGCUGCCGUCGCUCGCCACUGUCGCUUCCUCUUUUCUCAAUCAGCAGGCUCAGCACCCCUUUACACUUCCUUUUAAUAGUAUACGUAUACUGUAUACUGUUAAUAUUAUUAAGUUUAUUUAAAAUAAUUAAUUUUCAAUACUAUUAAUAGAUUAAUAAUAUAUUAUUUUGAUUUUAAUACUGUUAAUUUUUAUUUAUUUGAAAUUAUUGCUAGGUUUCUUAAUACUAUUAAUUUUAUCUUAGAUUUUCUUAAUUUAAUAGCAUAUUUUUAUUUAAAAUUUUAAAUAAUUAUAUUUAUUAAUUAUAUUAUAUAUUUUUAUAUUUUAGCGUCUCGCUUCGCUCGGGUGAGCGCCUAGCGCCUCGGGCGUUUUUGGACCUUGGCGCCUAGCGCUUUUUAAAUCACUGGAUCUUGCAUAAAAUAGUCUAGAUAUACUAAGAGUUAGUCUAUGGGGGUUGAAAGUAUGCAAGGCAUAUGUGUUGGUCUUGAGAACAUAUGGACAAAAGUGAUGUAAAUUAUCUGUGAUAAUCAUAUUCAUUUCAUCAUGUGGGUGACAUAUCAUGAAACAACAUUUGGAAUAACAGAACACUUUUUUCUUGCUCAUCUCAUAAAUUUUCCUUCCUUUCUCUUUGUAUUGCCCCUUAUGGCUCUGUGUUUGUUUACAAGUUACUAUAUGUAAAUGUUUGAUCUUUUUGUUAAGUUGAACUGAAUUAUAGUGCAGCUUACACCACAAGUCAGAGAAAUUUGUGUUUAUAAAAUUGUUCUGUCAUCAGAUAUUAUGAAGGACAGCUUGCUCAUUUUGCUGAGGAAGAUGCUGAGCAAGUUGAGGAGCCUGAAGUCAGAGUGACUGAAGCUGCAGAGAAGGUUGAAAUUUCAACUAAAUUGGUUUCAUCUAGUUCCCUACCACAGUCCAUGCAAGCAUUUGUAAAAAGAAUCAUCUGUUUUUUUCGGUGUUUCUGUCAUCCAUGAUGAGUGACUCUGAGGAGGUCUGGGUAUUCUAUGGAAAUCAGAAAAUUAGAUUUAGGCUUUUGUCUUGCAAUUGACUUAAGGCUAGUGCUCUUUCGGAAUUGAAGAAGCACCAGAAUGCUUAUUUUACAUAUUUAAUAUUCUUUGUUUGCUGUUGCACGAUAAGUUCUGAAUUUCCUUUUUGUGCUUCAAGUCAAGAAAAUUUGCUCUUAAAUCUGUUAGCUAGCUUUAAUUUGUUUUCUAUCGUGCCAGGCAGUCAUUUGUUUUCUGAUGCACAUUUGAUGGUCUUUCUACUGAAUUCUGCCAUAUUUGCAGGUUUCCUUAUUAGAAGAAAACAUAAAGCCCAGAGCAAAUCUUCCACCUCUACUCGUUCAUCUUCAUGAGAGACAUCCAGAAAAGCUUCACUAUAUUGGUGUCUCUUUUGGACUUACUUUGGAUCUUUUUCGCUUCUGGAGAAAGCAUAAAUUUUUUCCAUUCUAUGUUGGCCAGAUUCCAGUUAUGAUUUGCUCACAAAAUAUUCUAUUAUUCCUGGCACCAUAUGUUCUCUCAUAAUUUUGUUUGUGCAUAAUUUUACUCAUUUAUUUAUUUUUAUGUGUAUCAGAGUGCUGUCACUGGUGAGCACACAUGCAUGCUCUUGAAACCACUGAACAAUGAUGACGUUGAGGUUGGUGAGUCUGGUGAACAUGGUUUUCUUGAGCCUUUUUAUCAAGGUGAGAUACCAAAGAAGUGCACCUUAUAUUUUCCCUGUGUGAUUUCAUUAUAAGUAAAAUAUGUUUAUGAUGUUCCUCUAGACUUCAGGCGGCGAUUUCUGCGUCUUUUGGGUACCACAUGUCAUAAAUUUGAUUAUAAACUCGCAAUGAGGUUAGUUCAGAUAUUCAGCUUUCUUCCAAUGAUAAAUUCUAGCCAUAUGCUAAUACUAUGAUUGUCUAUGUUGUCUAGUGUUUUGGCAUCAAAGAUAAAUUUUGCAGAGCAGGAACAUGAAUUGACUGUCAUGAAUGGUGACUUGAAGCCCAUGAAUAACCUAUUGUCCCCUCAUGAUAUGAAGCGACUUGAAGCAUAUACAAAUAAUUGUGUUGACUAUCACAUGGUAAGAGUUUCGAGUACACUUUUUCUUUAUAUGUUAUAUCUAGUGGUCUAUGUUGCAUUUUUAACCUCUCGUACCAACAGCCAUCUGUCAUACACUGUAAGUUCCAACUAUUUGGAGUUGGGUAAAUUGUACAUAAUAGUGAUAGUUUGAUACCACCAUUGAGUUGUUGACAAGAGCAUUAUCACUUGGUAAACUAAGAGCUGUCAAAUUUUAAAUGUCUUUGAUAAAGUUUUAUUUGGUAUACCUCUUUGUCUUUGCACUACUAAUCUGAAGGGUCUCGUGUGGCUUAAAUAGUAUAUCUUUUUUGGGCAUGUCUAAACUCAAAUUGAUUGCUCCCUGGUCAGAUUGAAUGUUUAUUGAUCCAACACAUACUUAUUGAUGACACUAAUCUUUUAGAUUUUGUGUUGUUUCCAAAUUAUCCAACAUUGAGUUCUCUAUUCUUUUGUCCACUUUUGGGUUGCAGGACAUCAAACAAAGAUAUAAAUGAAGGGGUUUUGAUGAAUGAUGUUUGUUUGAUUUUUCUUUGAAAUCUAUGACAGUCAUAAGAACCAUACAUCUAAACUUACAUAACGAAAGUUGUCCAUUUUGCAUCAUGUAGAUUCUAGACCUAGUGCCUAUCCUCGCACAUCAGUAUUUCCAAGGCAAUAUUCCGGUCACAUUGUCUCCUGUGCAAGCCUCCGUGUUAUUCUGCAUAGGCUUGCAGAACAAGGAUGUUGGAGACAUCAAGGUCAGUUCACUGAUAAUUUAGGUUACAAAUUUAUUUGCAUUUGAAACCUUGUGAACUUUGUUCUUUCUUUUUGUGGAUCAACAGGAAGAAAUGAAGCUAGAAAGAGAACAAAUACUAUCUUUGUUUAUUAAAGUGAUGAAGAAGUUAUACAAUCAUCUUUACAAUGUUGUAGCCAGGGAGAUCGAUGAAACAUUACCCUGGCUUAAGGUAGUAAGUUGUUGUUAUUAUUAAUUGUCGUUUAUCAUUCUGUAAUUCUUGACAAGAGGUAAUAUCGACAUUUGUCAAGUAUGAACAACAUGGUACAACAUAGAUGUCUUUGUAUUAGCAUUUCAUCAAGGGAUACCUAAGGAGUUUAAAGUGUUGCUCCAGCCAAUCCUUUGUGGAUAAUUUCUAGAGGGCAGUGGCCCAAGGGUCAGAAACAAUUGCAAUAAAAUAAGCUAACAGUUGGCCAUAGCUGCACAGCUGAUGUAUAAUUACAUGUUCACCUCAUCUUCAUGAAGAAACUAUACUUACAUGUUCUCUAAUCUUGAAUGAGUUGUUAGUGUAUGUGAAAGGAAAAACAUAACAGUAACGGAAUUAUUAUUAUGUGAGGACAUUAAAAAAAAAUGAAAAUUUUAGAUUGUGAUUAGUCUUUUGAUAUCAGAUAUGCGGAGAACUACAGAUGAAUCAUGGCAAAUUUGUAGGUGUAUUUGAUGAAUGACUGAUCUUCCAUUAAUGAAUAUGAUCUAUGGUUUCUUGUUAUGCUAAUUGAAGAUGACAUCUAUUUUAUCUAUGUAACGAGAAGGGGUUUUUCCGGAACGCUUGACACUCUUUCUAGAUCUGCAAGUUUCAUGGAGUAGUGAUAGUGUUGUCCACAUCUAUUAACAAAUUUAACUCCAUUCUAGAUUCUUGUAUUUGUUAAUUUGCUAAUGGAGAUCAUAUCCUCAUUAGAACUUUCUUCGUCAAGUUUUCUACUUCGAGAUAGUAUCUCGCUUUCUUUUAAAAAGUGUCUUGUUCAUAAGGAGCAUAUGAUGCACUGUUUACUUGGAUCAUGAAUGUUUGCUCUCUGGUUUAGAGGGAUGAUGACCUUAUUAGAAACCUUUUUCUCCCUCAAGUUUUCUAUUUCAAGAUGAUUGUUUUCCUCGAAAAAGUAUUCUGUUUGUAAGGAGCAUGUGACACAAUGGCCACUUUGCAUGUUCUCUCUCAAAAAGUGUUUUCUGUUUGUAACAAGGACUACACGACAUAAUGUACAGUUAGAAUAUGACAAAGUGAAUAAUUUUCAGUUGAAUGUUGUGAUGCAGUAAUUGUGGUUAACCCACCAACUAUGCCACAAUCUCUAACUCAGUGUCUUUGUGCUUCAACCUGUGAUCCUUGCAUUAGAUUGAAAUGGCUCCUCACAGCAUAUCCGUGGAUGAAGAACUCGAUCAAGCAGCACGAGAGGUUAUGGUGAGCAUUUUAGCUUUGCUUGGUGGUUCAAUAUUUGCUUUUUCUAAAACUUAUCUGUUGAGCUUUUUGCAUGUGCUUCCAGGAAAAAAUGAAAGCCGAGAAUGAUGAUGGGAUCUUGAACCCAGAAUACUUGCAGCAAUAUGCUAUUGUCGACAAAGAAGGGGAGUUUGAGAAAGCUCUCCAAAAUGGAGGGGUUAAAGUGUCCGCAAGUGGUAUUGUCAGUGUAAAAUCUAACAGGAAAAAGAUGGGCAAGCUGGGAGCCAGCCAAGAAACAAAUAAGAGCAAAAGGAAAGGAAAGGAUGGCGAGAAACCAAAAUCAAACAAAAAGAAGAGAACGUAAAACACCUGCCUGGCGAAUUGCUGGUGAAACAGCAAUAUGGCUUGUAUGUCCAUUUAGAAGAUUUGAAAAUUUUUGCUUCAUUGUUUAUUAUUUUUCCCUGUAAUUCUCACUGUCUGAUGCAAAGUUAAAACUGAUGCAAUUUGCAUUCUGAGAGUGGUUUUUAUCUUAAGUGGAGGCAAAAUGAUUGCUGAAUGUUUUAGGCCAAAGAUUAUACUGCUUUGGUGGGAAUGAAUCAUUCUUUCAGCCCUACUCUUCGAUUGGUUGAGAUUAGCAGCAUGUAUAUAUUCCAAGUAUCCAAUUUGAGUCAUCCGUGUCAAAAGAAGAUGAGUCUGGAUUUGUUGUGGUGCAUGGAUCUUCAGUGUUAUAUUGUUCCAAGGCUUUGAUGAUUAUGUCAAGAAGGCGCUUUGGAGCAUCAGUCCGAUAUCGAUUCCGAAACUUAAUUCUGUCGGUAUGAAAUUGGUUUAUCAGGAAUCACAACAAUUAAUGAAAAAACAGUAAUGUUGAUCAAUAUUGCUAAAUGUUAUGGAUCUGUAACCAUGUGUAGAGUAAUUUCUCAUACUUAUAUGUUUGUUAACAUUUUAGGGUGAUUUUCUUGAAUUUUCUUUUUUGAAAGGUUCCUGAAGUUCUUACUUAUCCCAUUUGGUGUUUUUUUUUUUUCUAUACUCAUAAUGGUCCUUGUCGUCGUCAGUUGCCUUUGUCCCAUUGCCUUUCAUCGUGUCGGUCAUUAGGCUUUCCUCAUGUAUCAGGCCUUCCUCAUGUAUCAUGAUUGUUGAUCUCAAAAAGGGAAAGACGUUGAGGCGAAGGAGGUGGCUAUGAAAGGUCUUCCCUUCCUUUCUCCCUUGCAUGGCCCAUCACGCUAGACAUCACCUACGCAAACCCACUUGUCGCUUUGCCCCCUUAGUUUCACCACCAACUUUGCCAUGAAAGGUUUUUCCCUCUUGAUUGUCACCAAGCACCUUCCCAUGACGUCUACUAUACCCCUCAUAACCGUCUCUCUCCUACCUGUCGAUCUCGUCAAGUCAUCUAACAACGAAGCAUUGCACUCCAAUCAUCACGGUGAUGUGGAGGGUAGGCACACAACGAAGUCGAAGUCAGGAGGCAGGAGGCAGGGCCAACCCCUUGUCGCGGUCCAUGAUGCCCAUAGCCUCAAUCUCGACUUUUCCCUUGCUUCUAACCCCCUUUGGAGGCCCUUGUCUCGUCUCCUUUAGUGUCAUUAGCAACCACCCCAUCCUUCUCCUUGUCCUCUUCGAUCUUCAUGCUUCCUUCCUCAUCCUUCAUCUUGCCACUAUUCGAAGGUAGACACUCAAAGGUGAGGGGCAUUAUAGAGAUUACAAAAAAACAAGAGGGCACCAAAUUAAAAAAGUAAAAACUAUGUGUACCUUUCAAGAAAAUCAUAGAAAGAUAAGUAAAAUUAUUUUUGUCACCACUCAUAUCAAUAUGUUAGGUGGGACUCAACAUUAGGAAGAUAGCAAUGUGGUGUUGACGAGGAUGUGGACUUGCCCUAUAAGAUCAACCACAUAAUGUUAAUGGGAAAGCUAACCCGAUGGAUCGAUACUCCGUAGCCCCUUGGAUUUGACAUAUGAUCAGACGAUCGAUGACUAAAGUAUAUAUGUAAUAGUUCUCGAUAUUCAUCACCAUCCCACUGAAAUGCACCUUUGUUUUGUUCUCGAUGAUAGUUUUUACUCUAGCUAGCUCAUGUAAUAUAUAUCAUUUACCUUCGGUGCUUAGACCCCCAAUCCUCUAAAGCCUCAUUAAUUUAAGUAUUAGAGGAGUGUUGUUGUCUCGAUACCUUGAUCCGAAACAUAUUUUAAAGUGAACAUCACCUACAUGUCAGACAAUUAGAAUAUAUAUGGGAUAGGUUAAAGGUUUGAUUUUCCUAAAUAAAUCUAACAAAGAAUGAAAAAAAAAAAAAAAAAAAAAAAGUAUACUGGGAAGGGACCAAAAUGACACACCAACUGCAGCUGUCACCAGCCCCAUUGGUUUUUAAUGGUAAAGCAGAAGAUGGCACUUUCUUUCAUUCAUGAUAACAAAUAAUAGUGGCCAUUAGGCCUUCAAUUCUCCAUGCCAAUGCCAGUCUCAUCUUCUGUUUAUUUUAAGUAAAAAAAGGAUUAGGUGAGUGUCCAAUGGUUGGUUUGUGGUGGGCACUCACUUUGACAGUCGUUGUUGGUUGUCGAUGAGGUGUCGAAAGAAAGAAAGAAAAAGAGCCAUGGGAAGAGCUCUUCUAAUUGGAUUGCAGACCAAACUAAAAGGUGGUUGGUUGUACACCAGCAGAAUCAUUUUGGUGAUCGAGAUGGUUUUACUACUAAUUUACUUACAUACAGGUUAGUCACUGUAAUGAUUGCUUCAUUGUGUAGCAAAAGUCCACACUUUCCGUUCAUGAGAAGAGGGGAACACUGACUGACUGACUGACUGACUGACUGACUGACUGACUGCAUCGUCAUGCCCUCCGACAUCCCACGCAUCGGAAACUAGUACGGCACCGUCUUUAUUACCGCGAAGAUGCCUUUCUCCUCAGCCCCCCUUUCCUUUCCUUUCCUUUCCUUUCGGGCUGGCAGAGCAACAAAGAUGGGGAUGCCAUGGCAUCGUCCUCCUCCAAUCUUCAAGCUCGAAAUGCUGGAGGGCCUCCACCUCAUCACCCUUUCGGCUAUCAGGUCGGUCACCACCACAUGCGGUGCUGGUAAAGAGGCACCACCGAUCGCCAUGUCCUAUCGCCAGCUUUUGUCCUCGGUCUCAGGCACAAGCGCGGCUUCUCAUCAUAACUUUCAACCGAAUGGUGCUGCCAUCGGAUGCAAAUUUUACCAUCUCAUAGGGUUUUACUAAUUUGUGUCGUCAUUAAAGAGGAGAAAGUGAAUCGGCAAGUCUCUUUUCCUCUGUCUCACAACCAUCCCGACCACACUACCCAUAUCAUUCAUCAGCGAUACAGCCAACUCACAUUUCAAGAACAGAGACAAGGAGGACGCUUAGAAUUUCCAGCGAUCAAACCCAAAUCACAGACCAGCAAUCCAUCAAAAGCACAAUAAAAAGUUCACCAACAAAUCAAGAACAUCAAUGACAAACAAAAAAAAAAACAAAUGAAAACAAGCAGAACAAUCAAUAAUAAUAAUGCAUCGAUCUCAGCAACCACCAAAGUGUCAUCAUAUCUACAGGCUCACACCAGACUCCCAUCAUAAUUUAUAUAUCACCACCAUCGCCAUCAAUAUUACUGAAACAAAAACCCUAACGACGACCCGUGAACCGAGACCACGCAGCAGAUCCCUCAAUGGCGGAGGGAUCCCAGGAGGAGGGCGACGGAGGAUGCGAGCAGGGCGAUGGCUAGCGGCGGGGAGAGGCCGCCGGCGGCGGAGGUGGGGCUCGGGGCCGGAGCAUCGGCGGCGACAGCUCCUCCGGCCAGGAAGGCGGCGGCAACCACGGCAGCGAGGAAAACCGCGAGGGAUUUGCCUUCUAAGCCCGCCAUUGCCAGAUGAAGCUCUAUUUCUUGAGAUAGGGUUUCGAGCGGGGCGGGGGGCGAGACGGAGGAGCGUAAGCUAGUCCGAGAAACAGGGUCGGCGUUGAUGGAUGGGUGGGGGGACUAUUUAUAGCCAAGAGGAGUCAGGUAGCGGAGCGGGUGGCUGCCCGAUCCGAUCCGAUCCGAUCCGAUCCGACAGCUGGCGACAGCUGUACUUUAUCGGUGGCUAAUAUGGUUCUUUAUUUAAUGAAAUACCC